rnacentral:lncRNA from 1 species
AAAGCGCGCCUUUGAUAACACUGGUAGGAUUUGCCUAGGCUCAAUUAAUACUCUGAGGUUUGCUCCACGGUUUCACCAUUCCAUUGCCCAAGAUUGGAUACAAAGUGACUUUGAUGCCAUAUGCAAUAACCCAACUCACUAAUGAAUAAAGAUAUAGUUUGUUUUUGGACUAGGGUCGCACAGUUUUAAACGCUUCAUUGGGUAUAAGGAGUUCUUCCUUAUACCAAUGCCGAUGUGGCAUCUGCCUAGGGUGUUAUAGAGGCAUAUACUCAGAUUUAAUCACCAACAUUGCUUCUUCAUCUUUUUCAUUUUAGCCUUUUCCACAAAUAUCUAUUGGUAGUCAUUUCUAUGCUCACUUCAGUUUCGAUGGUGGGCUAUCAUGAUUUCUGAUCACAUCUCACGUUGAGUUUACUAGUUUUAAGUUAACGUGCUAUCUUUUUUUUUUUGAAACUGGUAAUGUUGUAUUCCUCGGCAUUAAGGUAUGCUCGAGACCUCCAAAAAGGUAGUAACAAGCUAAAACAAGAGACUAAUUACAGUAAUCAUAAAAGAUCUACUAAUUGUUCAGCAUUUUCUAUACAAAUUUCUUUACACCAAAAGUAGAAAGUUGCAAUGCAGCUAGCUCCCUUUGAUUUUCUGAAUGUUGUUAACUUUGAAUUGUAAAAGGGAGUUUCAGGACAAACGCUACCUGGAAAACUUGUAGAAACAGCAUUUGCAAUCUGAAGCUCACUGGAGAUAGAGCAGAUAUAACUUUUCCAUUCCCCAUAACCAAUUUUAGACUAGUAAAUCUAAGUCCCUAAAAGAAUAUCAAAGAAAGUUGAAGCUGUCUGGUUCUGAAGCGGAUCCAGAGCAGCAAGGAGGUGAACUUUAAACUGAACUAGUGGGAAGUGAAAGCUUGAAGUUUUAUAAUGAAAGAGGCUUAAUGCUAUUGCUGGGGUUGAUUUCUUGUUUGAAAAUGGAAAUUUUCUUUAUAUUAUAUCAGUUUGUAGUCCAAAAAAAAACUAAAAAAGAAAAACUCAUGUAUUAAGUUCUUUGAUCUACAUAAGAAACUUGGAGAUGCUGGUUGACUUAUUUUAAAAAAAUAAUGAGUGAAUAGAACUAGGAAGGGCUGUAAAUUUUUCAAGAUUAGUUGGUUUUUUUUUUCUUUUCGAAAUCAAGUAUCAUAGGAAGGGCUGUUGUCAACAGAUGGUAUGGGCGACCUUCAAAAUGCUUUUCUAGCCCUAAAUUAAAUACUUUUGCUGGAUAUAUUCUUUUAAGCAUUUUUCUUGUACAACAGUUGUCAUAUUCUCUUCCUUGUUGCUCGUCUCUUUCUUCAUCACCGGGAUUCUUUUGAGCGUAAAUCUUUUUUUUUUGAAACUGGGAACUUCUUUUGAGAGUAAAUCUUAACGAUCAUACUCUUGACCUCUUAGGUGAAAUUGACUGGAAUCCUUGUCUUCUGCUAAAUUAUUUUUUGCAUCAUACUUUUUCUAUCGUUUUGGUGCAAGAUGGCAAUUGUAAAUGAUGUUGAAGGCACAUAUUUGAUUUUAUCAGCUUACUGCAAUUCAUGUAAAACCUUAGCAGUAUUUUACACCAGCAUUUGCUUAGCGCUGGUCUCAAUCAAUGAAACUUUGCUUACUUAUCAAAAAAUAUAUUUUUUCUCAAUGAAACCGCAGGGUCUUUUGGAGGGCGUUAGUGAUUCAUUCACGAAAAACUUUCAGUUUAUGGACUCCAUCAAGGCUUAUCUUUCAUAUGUUUUACUAAAAGCAUCAGUUUCACAGUCACCUACAAUAUUUCAGGUUAGUAAUUUUGCUUUCUGAAACUAUACACUCGUGUUAUUGAUAUUCUUUUGAAAUUUUUCAGAUUUUUAACUCGCUAACAACUGUCCACAUAAUUUGGCAGUAUGCUACAGGAAUUUUCUCAGUCCUAUUAUUGCGAUUCAGGGAAUGUCUCAAGGUACACAGUGUUUACACUUCCUAUUGAGAUUUAGCUAUCUAUUUCAAAAUUUGAGAGGUUGCAAAUUAAAAUUUGAUUUUCAGGGUGAAAUUGGUAUCUUCUUUCCCUUAAUUGUCCUACGUCCGCUGGAUGGCACAGACCUAAAUGCAAAAAUAAGUGUUCCACGGUAUGAUUUUUGCUUAAAUGUACAUAGUUCAUUAUAUAGCUUUUGCACUUGUUAACUUCACCGUGCCUUUUACUUUUUCCAAGUAAUAGAGUCCCACCGAACUACAUGAAAUACUCAAUAUUCUCAAUCUUUAUGUAGUUCAUGAACUUGAUUGAUACAUUUGAAGGAUGUGUACGUUUCAUCCUACGGACUAUCAGGAUGGUGUUGCAAAAAUUGACCGACUGCACUAAAUUAAAAGAAAAGUAAAAAAAAAAUAUUCGGGGAUGUAAUAGUUCAACUUACCAACUAAUCUGCUAUAGAAUCUUGGAUAAACUAAGAUUCUUGUCCUGAAAAUAGCUUGACAUUAGGGUCUGUAGGUGAAUCAAUUGAUAUACUCAGUCAUGCUUGUUUCAUUCACAAUAUCGGGACAUAUUCCUUGAUGAGAUGAUCACACCUGAUGUAUGAACGACGUAUAUGUCCAAAAGGUACUUAAGUUGUUUUUACCUUAUCAAAAAUAGUACUUAAGUUGUUCUUAGGUCCCUCUCUGGAAGUGAGUGAAGUGCCUUAGGCCUCAUUAAUUUUGCAUUGAGAUUAAGACAUCUGAAUGUACAUUUGAAUGAUUAAGAUGUUGUUUCUAAAUCUGAACACUGAAUGAUUAAGACAGUUGGUUUUUCAACAUCUGAAUGUGCAUACUUAAUUGAUUUUUAAACAUGGUAAAUAUACAAUUCAAAUAAAAGUAAUUAAAUGUUAGAAAAGUAUAUAUAUAUAUAUACUUAAAAUAAAAUCAUUAUUUGAUUAACCAAUGAAAUAUUUAUGUUUGCUAGUGAUGGUAGAGAUGGUUUGUGGUGGUGGUGGUGAUAAUUGUCAGGGUGGGGGUGGUUGGUGUUAUAGUUACUAAUGCUAUGGUGGCGGUUGGUAGUGGUGGUGGUGGUUGAUGUUAGAAGUUGGCGGUGUUGGUGGUGAUGGUGAUGGUUGAAGAAUGUGUGGUGGUUAACCGUGGUGUUGGUGGUAGUUGGUUGCGGUGCUAGUUGUGAUGAUGGAGAUGGUUGGUAGUAAGGAUUGACCCCAAUGGUUGUAGUGGUUGAUAAUGGUGGCGGCGGCGGUGGUGGUAGUGGAUAUAAUUAUAAUGAUGGAGGUAGAAAGUGUCUUAGUGAAUGAGUAGUGGUUGGCAGCGGUGUUGGUUUGCGGUGCUAGUUGUGAUGAUGGAGGUGGUUGGUAGUGAGGAUUGACCCCAAUGGUUGUAGUGGUUGAUAAUGGUGGUGACGGCGGUGGUGGCAGUGGAUAUAAUUAUGAUGGAGGUGGUAAGUGUCUUAGCGACUGAGAGUAGUGGUUGGCAGCAGUUUUGGUUGCUACUGGUGGUUGUGAUGGCAGAGGUGGUUGGGGUUGUGAGGGUAGAUGUGGUUAGUGGUGGUGGUUGGUGAUUGUGAAUAGAGUGGUGGUGAAAAUUAUCUGCACAAAAAUGCCUCUUAAUGAUAUUAAGACUUUGUGCAAGAUCUUCAUGAUCUAGACUUAUUCAUACCAAAAUAAGUGCAUAACAAAUGAGGCCUAGUGUCUGAAUGCUUUGUUGGUCGUCUUCUGUAAUAGCUUUCAUCCACAAAGCGCGCCCCUGAUAAUUGUGUCUUUCCAACAGAUAGAGCGAAGAGUGCAUAAGGAGGGUGGCCCAGUGGUUUGGGCUUGGGACUUCCAUGUUGGAGGUCUCAAGUUCGAAACCACUUGCCAGCGAAAGCAAGGGGUUUGCUUCUGGGUCAAGCUCGUCGCACCGGUAUUGCCUAGUGCGGGUUACCUCUCCUAUGUGGUUUGCGAGCUAUUGCAUAGGUGCGGGGGUUUUACCCUGUGUGCACCCAAAGGGUAGCGGCUGCGGGUUUCCCUUGUCAUCAAAAAAAAAAGAGCCUAGGCUUGUCGUAGAUAAGAGUUGUAUACGAUAAGUUUGAGUUUUGAAUGAAAUAGGGUUAUUCUAUCAUCCGCCUUCCUCAGAUGAGACCUCCUCCCUAAUGUGCCAUAUAGCUACUUUUGCGUGUCUGGUACAGCAUGGUUCCACUCUGUAAGAACCCUGAAUCAGUCUCUUGAAGCUCAUCCUUUUCAUCAUAAAGGAUCCGCUUAGAGACCGACCUUGUGUAGAGCAUUGAUAUAAAACAAAAUGUCCUGACUUAAUAUUGACUGAUCCAAAAUGCUGACCUACAUAAUUGAAACAUCCAACCUAAGCUAGUGGAGACUUUUUCAAAUCAUAAAGUGACCGUCUGUGUUGACAUACUAUACCAUACUUUGCUUGGGUACAAAAUUAGAUGGUUGCUCCAUAUUGACCUCUUCCUUAAUGUUAUUUUGGAGAAAUUCAUUCUUGACUGGCUUCGCAUGCUACCUUGUGGAUAGUUUGAGGGAGAAGGACGGGAGCCUUUGACAAAGUGGAGAACUCCUUUCACCUUCAUGAUCUUUGUUUUAUGUAUGUUGGUGCUCACAGGAUAUAUCUAGCAGUGUAGAUGAGCUGAUCUGUGUAUAUGGAUAAACUGAAUUCUGGUUGUCUGGCAAUAAUUGAUACAUCUUUAUUUGGAAAUCUAUUCUGUUUUCCUCUCUCUAUAAAUUAAGCUUGUAAAAAACUCAAACAAGCUGCCAAGCAUUAUUAAUAAGAAAUAUGUGAUGAAUUUUGCAUGAUUGAGGAAUAGCCUCUUAUCCCUUAUUUCUUCUUGGUGCAUCCGUGUGGUUCCUUUAUGUAUAGAUGAUUGGGUGUCAUCCGUAGAAAACCAUAUCUUUUUGUAGGUCUUCUACUUUUUGGUAUACUUCGUGAAUACAAAGUUACAAACAUCCCUUUAUUGUUUCAUGUUGUUAAUAUAAUCAUUACCUUACAUAAAAUAAAAGAAAUAUCACAUGAACUUUCCUUCCAAAAAACGAAAGGAAACUUCACAUGAUCUAAAAUCUUCAAGCAAGAGAAAAAUAUGGAAAUGAAAUCUUGUGGUGCGGUAGAUAGUGGAGAAAAUAUUUUAUGGGUAAAAAGGAAGGAUAAAUAAUAGAAGCAUUAGAGUUCCCAUGUCAUCAAGUAAACUAAGCAGUGUGGAACUGAAUCUACAAAAGGCCGUCUCUUUUUCUUUUUUUUUUCCAUCAAGUAACUAUAAAAACUCAGCCUCAUUCCUUUAGAGUCUCAUGCUUAAAAAUAUAGUUCGAUUUCCUGAAAUAUUUUGAGUUGAAACGAUUGUUAAGUUAACACAUUGACUUUGUCAAUAUUUUUUUAGGAAGAAAAGUUGCCAAUUUUUUUUGAAAAAGAAACUUAAGCCCUAUCUGUAAACACUGUAAUAUGACUAUAUAAUAUCCACUCCAACUUAUCAAAGAAAUGAAUAAAAACCUAGUCCCUAACUCGGAGAAAUAUAAUACAACAUAUGAACGUGUAAAACCAAUUUAAUAUCCUGAAAAACCAACCAAAAUAUACAAAUUGAAUCAGAUCUCUAGAUUUCUAUAAUGCGAAGUGCAAACCUAACAUAGCUUGCUUGUAUGAUAUGUCCUGUUUCUUUCACUUAUUAGAAUGCAAUGUUCACGCAUCAUCUUGGAUAUGAUAUCUGUCACAAACCACUUCUUCACAAUUCUAUGAUAUUACCUUUUUGUACAAGUUCGACAUUCGGGAAGUAAACAAUAUUAUAGAAGUUGAAAAUAUGAUGGCAUCAGCACCCAAGGAUGUGGUAUAAUGGUCAAUGAAGUGGGAGAAUAACCAUGAGCUCGAAGGUUCGAAGCCCCAAUGAAGGCAAAGAAAACACUAGAUGAUUUCUUUGCAUCUCCCUAAUUUUUGGUGGCAUAGUAACCCGACACUGUGCAGUGCUGGUGGGAGAUAGCAAGUAUUCAGUGGAAUAGUCGUGAUGUACUCAGGCUGACUAGUACACACCAUCAUAAAGAAAGUGAUGACACCACACUAGCAUUAAAUUGUUUAGAGCUAUCAAAUUAAGGUCUUUUUUUUAAGAACCCAGAUAAAAAUUAAGAGAAUCUCAUGGUAUUAUCAAACAAAGUUGCAUAGAUGGGUUACCCUGGCCUUGUGUCAAUCACUGCAUGCAUGCAAGCUAGAACAAAAACAUUACAAUCUUUGUCGUUGCUGUCUUUGCAGGAUGCUAGAGAAAGUUUGCAAGAAUUCCCAGAUGCUUGUUGACCUUUAUGUGAACUAUGAUUGUGAUCUUCAAGCACCUAACUUAUUUGAGCGAAUGGUCUCUCUCUCUCUCUCUCUGCAGUGGGUUGGCUUUGCAAUAUCUUGGUUAUUGUAUGACCCAAAUGUCCCCUCUCUAUUUGUUUUACUUAUAGGUUACAACAUUAUCCAAAAUUGCACAAGGAACGCAAAAUGCUGAGCCAAAUUCAGUUGCCACAUCCCAGAUAGCGUCAAUCAAAGCAUCCUCUCUUCAGGCAUCUCUUUAGAAUACCCUCUUCUUGAGAUUUUGUUGGAAUUUCAAUAUUAUACUUCACCCUUACACUUUCUUUUGUGCUGCUCUUGACCUUUAUAGUGUCUUGUAAAUGUGCUAAAAUCUCUUGUCGAAUGGGAGAAGCGUUGGUCAGAGUCAGAAAGGCUGAGCAAUAGGAAUCAGUCUUCUGAAGAUGAAACUUUAAAGGGAGACUCUGAUAAGAUGAGAGACGUGGAUGAUUCACCCAGUAAUUUUGAGAAACUGAAAGCCCACAAAUCUACUGUUGAAGCAGCUAUUUCUGAAGUAUGUCUUUUUGACCCAUUCUCAUAGAAAAUGAGGAAAUUAUCAGUCUUUGAUUCUUCUGUUUUAUUAUCUAUUUGGAUAAAGUAUCUGCUUGCUGCUGCCUUUAUUUACUGUAUGUGCUUGGGAUGGAUUAUUAAUGUUUGGUUUCUUCGAAAUAAUGCAGUUCAAUCGAAAACCCACGAAGGGAAUCGAACAUCUAAUAUCAAAUGGGCUGGUUGAGAACUCACCAACUUCGGUUGCUCAAUUUCUCAAAAGUUCUCCUAGCUUGGACAAGGUGAAAUAUCAUUUAUGCCCGUUUUGUUCCUCUUUUGCCUCUCUAAAUUGACUUGUAGAAAAAUUCUAACUGUACUGGAGUUUCAGGCUAUGAUUGGUGACUACUUGGGUCAGCAUGAGGAGUUUCCUGUGGCUGUCAUGCAUGCUUAUGUUGACUCUAUGAAUUUUUCUGGAAUGAAAUUUGAUUUGGCAAUUCGUGAAUUUCUUAAAGGGUUCCGGCUUCCCGGGGAAGCUCAGAAGAUAGAUCGCAUUAUGGAAAAGUUUGCAGAGCGGUAGGUACUCAUUUAAUGUUCCCAAUAUCAUUGAGAUGUCGUCCUUCUGUCUAUGCCUUAUGCACACAUUUGUUGACCACUGGGAAUUUGUCCCCGUUUUUUAAUCUUUGAGAUAUUGUCCUUUUGUCAUAAUACAUAUGAAAAUAUUAUUAACCAGAUAGAAGUGCCGAGGAUAAACAAAAAGCAGAGUAAUUGAGAGUCUUUGAACAUGAUUAAGCUCUGCCACGCAUGCUCUUUGGCUUAAGAACAGUGAAAUCUCCUUCUGCAUCAUGUCUGAGUCCUCAAAUAGACUGAUCCAUGGAGUUCUGUACAGUGCCGCACAAUUAGUAUAAGGCCAAGCACUAAAUCAUCCAGUGGUUUUUUAAUGCUGUUAUUGUGGAGCAUUCGCUGAAUAGUGAUGAAAUAUUUAGUGCUGCAUAUCUUUGGGCUUAGGGUAUGCACAAUAACAGACAGAUAAGAUUGAUUAUAACCCUCAGACAAAUAACCAUUGUGAAUGAUGAUAAUAUGUUUGGGAAAGAGUGUAGAUUGACUUUAGCAAGUGGAAAUCUGCCCCUUUUUUACUUUAAAUGUUGCACGAAUUGCAUUUGGGCUGAGUUGUACCUUUGUCUACUUGUGGGAUCUCAUUUGCAUUAGUAACAAACUUAUUCUUAUAUUAAAAGAAAAAAAAAGCUUGCUACUGGAAAACGUAUAUGUUGAAGUUGUCCUUUGUGAAAUAAGGGCCAACAAUUAGAACUAUUUUUAUAGACAAGCAUAUAUCUUAAUUUAUGUCAUGUUGAAUAGCAAAGAAUCGGAGAGAAGUGCCAAUGAUCAAAUCUAUUCAAUGUAGACGAGGAUUAGAAAUUGUUAUAUCAUUAGCCACUUGAUUUUUGUAAUAGGUGUUUCUGAAAUACAUGAUAGAUGAAUUACUUGCAUUGGUAAUCCAAAUGCAUCAUUCAUAACAAUGUCUAUUGCUUGGGCUGAACACUAUUCUUUUAACAGUUACUGUGCGGACAAUCCCGGUUUAUUCAAGAAUGCAGACAUAGCAUAUAUUCUAGCAUAUGCAGUUAUAAUGCUGAAUACAGAUGCUCACAACCCAUUGGUCUGGCCAAAAAUGUCGAAGGAUGAUUUUAUACGUAUAAAUGCCACUGAUGAAGCAGAAGAUUGUGCUCCAAAGGAACUGCUGGGGGAGAUCUAUGAUUCAAUUGUUCAAGAUGAGAUAAAGAUGAAAGAUGAUCCUGUUGGCCUAGCAAAAAGUAGCAAGCAGAAGCCUGAAGCUGAGGAGAGAGGACAUCUUGUCAAUAUUCUCAACCUUGCACAGCCUAGAAGGAGAUCUUCAGUUGACCCAAAAUCCGAGAGUGAGGCUAUCAUCAAGCAGACACAGGCUAUUUUCCGAAAUCAAGGAGGAAAAAGAGGAGUUUUUUAUACUUCACACAAUACCAAACUUGUACGUCCAAUGAUUGAAGCUCUAGGGUGGCCACUGCUUGCCACUUUAGCUGUUCUUAUGGAGGAAGGAGAUAACAAAGCACGGGUUAGUGUGUGCAUGGAAGGAUUUAAAGCUGGAAUACACAUCACACAUGUUCUCGGGAUGGACACCAUGCGAUAUGCAUUUUUGACAACUCUUCUUAGGUAAUCUCUUGGGCAUAUCUGUUAAUUUCACUCUUUCAGUGCAAUAAACUGUUUUGAUAAUUGAAGCAUCUUGGACCAUUUUAGUAUUUACUUCCCGAAAAGUUAGCUCUUUUGUCUUUUAUAUUCUGGGGCAGGGGUUUGGUGAUGGAUGAGGAUAAAUUUAUGCUUUCCUGAUUAGAGACUGAAACAACCUUAACAAUUUCUUUGCAGACUUAAUCUUUUACAUGUACCAAGGGAUAUGAAAAGUAAAAAUGUGGAAGCACUACGGACUCUUCUGGCUAUAUGUGAUUCAGAUGCUGAAGCUUUGCAAGAUACAUGGAUUGCGGUGCUUGAGUGCAUUUCCCGGCUUGAGUUUAUAGUAACUAAUCCUUCAAUGGCUUCAACAGUUAUGCAAGGAUCUAACCAAAUUUCCAGAGAUGCUCUGCUUCAAUCUCUUAGAGAGUUGACUGGAAAACCUACUGAGCAAGUAUUCGUGAAUAGUGUUAAAUUGCCCAGUGAAUCAGUGGUUGAAUUUUUCAGUGGUUUGUGUAAAGUCUCAGCUGAGGAAUUAAGACAAUAUCCUGCACGUGUUUUCAGCUUGCAAAAACUUGUUGAGAUCAGCUAUUACAACAUGGCUCGCAUUCGAAUGGUAAUUGCUCCACCCAUUCAAAUGAUAUUAGUGUUGGGUAAAUUCUUAACAUUGACCUGAUAAGUGAUUUGGCUGUAUCAUUUAGUUAUCCAUCUCUUUACCUCUUGUUGCCUAGUGCUACACAACUCUUAUGACAACUAGUGCUAGUGUAGUUCUAAUUGUGGCUCAAGGGAUAGUCAUACUAACUGCAAAUUUAAUGUAUUUCACAUAUGUAAUUUACUGUGCAUGUGGAAUUAUUUUCUGUUCGUACUUGAUUUACUAAGAGGGAGAACUAACAAAGUCAGCCUUUUUAUAAACUCAUAAAUGCAAAAUUCUUAUCUAUUCUUUACUUGUCUUUUACUCUUAGUUUUAGAAGGUUUAAAUUCAAUGUCUCUUGGGAUGUUUGUUUUCAUGUCUAGUGUUCUUUUUUAUUUUUACUGUAGAUCUACUCUGGUGGCUACUGGAUAUUUUAUUUCAAAAUGAAUAUAUAUUUGACUUUUUUAUGAUGUUUGCAUGUGUCUUGGGAGGUUUUAUCCUGCAGGUGAUUUAUGUUAAUGCCAAAGUGGAGCUCACUCGAAUAUAUGCCAUCAUGAAAUUUCAAUCAUAUUUCUUAAUUAUUCUAAUUUAGUGCUUUACUUUAGAAACUUUUUUUUUUGAUGAAGUAGUAAUAUAAAUGUCAUCAAGAAGAUGCAUAUGGCAGAAUAGUUACAAAAGAGUGAGAUUGUCAUCUCUGUUACAAUGAGACCCAUGCUAAGGAUAACAGAGCUAAUAAGGUCCAAAAAUUUCUAAUGAGAACCUACAAGUGAUAGACUAUCCCAGCUACAUAAAUCUGAAAGACAUCUAGCCUUACGGGAGUGGUUUGGAGUUGAUAGUCCAUCAAAACAUAUUCUAUUCCUCUCAUCCAAACACACCAAAAAAGUACUAACAGGAAUCAUAUUUCAAACUUGUCUGGUGAAUUUAUCAACUUUCCAAGCAAUCCAACUAAUGCAGGCAUCCUUGAUACUGUCAGGCAUGACCCAUCUGAAGCCAAAAAUUGUAAUUAACAUGUUUAGCUAGGAAUCCACUUCAAAUGGAAGAAUUCUUUUGAUUAAAGGAACAAAGAAGUAAACUAAAAAUGAUGUGGAGAAACACUUUUAAUAAGCGUGAAGUUAUCUGAAAUAGAAGUUCUUCUUGAAUCUUGAAGGAGGCAUGCUCUUCCCACUUAUAGUUGUUUACUUUUGGCUAAUAUUGAUAUCAUUGGUAUAUUAACAAUUAGUAUUUUGAUAGAACAAUUUUUUGAGAAAGAUUUAGGUAGAACAUUUGUUUUGUGUAUUGUAACAAACGUUUCUAUGGAUUUCUCUGAUACUUAUGUUUCUCAAUAUUAUUGAUUUGUUUGCUCUCAUACAAUGUUAUCAAAGGCGCACUUAAGCCCUGAAACAAGGCUCUAAACGUGUUGAGCGCUUCAACUCACUAAAUGUGCGCUUCAGUGUCGUCAUCAAGGUUCUAAGGCAUACUUUUCCUUGCCAAUGAGCCUUUCUGAAGAUAUAACACUAAACAAUUGAUAUUUCACUUUAUCCUACCUUUUUUUAAAUUUAUUUGUUCACAUAUUUGUCAUCAUGCUUAUAAUUAUUAGUCUUGGACUAAACAUAUAUAUUUAUAAUUUUUUUCUCGCUUUGCGCCUUUUUUCAUUGAAGCCCAUACUUCACUUGCGCUUAAAGCCCCAACGAACUUUAGAGCGUUUUUGCGCUUUUUGCUUUUGAUAACACUGAUCACAUAAAGAAUGUUAUCAUCUAAUGGGUGCUUUUCCACCUCAAAUUGCUACAUGGAUGACUAGUAUUACUGAUUAAUUUAUUCUUUGUACUGUGACAAUUUUUUCUAUGGAUUUCUCUGAUGCUUCCUUUUCUCAAUAUUAUUGAUUUGCUUGAUCACAUAAAGAACCUUUGCACCCAAGUGAGUGCGUUUCCACCUCCAAUAGCUAAUUGGAUGACUAGAAUUACUAAUUCGUUGAACUUCAUUUGGCUAUGGAGCUUCAUCUCUUGUGGUACAAUAGGAAUCAGCUUAGCAUCGAUAACUAGUAUGAGGUGGUGCAUAAUUUUGAGAGUGGCAGUGAAUUAAUUUAUUGAUGAUAACCACCUUGCAUUUCCCUAAGAUGUUUGUCUGAAAUGACAUUCCAGGUUUGGGCAAGAAUAUGGUCUGUUCUGGCUACUCAUUUUAUUUUUGCUGGGAGCCAUCCUGAAGAGAAAGUUGCUAUGUAUGCCAUAGAUUCUCUUCGGCAACUUGGUAUGAAGUAUUUGGAGCGUGCUGAACUUGCCAAUUUUACCUUCCAGAAUGAUAUCUUAAAACCAUUUGUCGUUCUUAUGCGAAGCAGUCGAAGUGAAACUGUAAGGAGACUUAUUGUGGAUUGCAUUGUGCAAGUAUGUAUGCGUCUUAUCUUUUUCUUGAGUUGCUUUUUUUCUUUUUUUGUGGGGGAAAUAUACUGAUUCCUGCAUGGUAGCAGAUGAUAAAGUCCAAGGUGGGAAGUAUUAAGUCUGGUUGGCGAAGUGUGUUCAUGAUAUUCACAGCUGCCGCAGAUGAUGAACUAGAGUCGAUUGUUGAGAGUGCUUUUGAGAAUGUUGAGCAGGGUAUGGAGAGCUUUUUUCAUUUUAAAAAUUGCUUCUGCAUGUUUCUCACUUUUCAGAUUCCAUUGCAGAAGGCUUAGUUAUAGUAUUAAUGUUGAAAUAAUGUUGUAGUUAUAUUGGAGCACUUUGAUCAAGUAGUUGGUGAUUGCUUCAUGGACUGUGUCAAUUGCUUAAUCAGAUUUGCUAAUAACAAGACCUCCCACAGAAUCAGCUUGAAGGCAAUUGCACUACUUCGUAUAUGUGAGGAUCGUCUUGCAGAGGUUUGUUGGCUGGGUCUCACUUAGUUGAGGAGGCCUCCCCUCCUUGUCAAUUCCAUUUUCAUUCAUUAUUUUAUUUUCAAUUAGUAUUCCUAGUAUGCCAUGUAUGGUUUAUGACAGUUGAUUUUCCAAGUAGGGGGGGCGGGGGGACCCAAGCAAAUGUGUAAAUUAACCUUAAAUUUGAAAACUUUGUAAGAAUCACUAUAAUGGAAUGCCCCAGAUAAUCUAGCAAUUUUAUAUAAACAAGGUAUAUCUAACUCUGACAAAUGGGAUAUAUGCGAUAUUUAGGUGACUAUUUUCAGGUGUCAUAUGUAGAGAUCUUCUCUUACUUCCGAUUACCAUCCUCAUGCUGGCUAUCUGGCGUUCAGUUACAUAGUUAAGGCUCUGUUAUCCCCUAAAGGAAUUGCAUAAGAUUUUGCUGAUCUAUUCAGUGUAAAAUGAAUUUCAGGGUCUUAUACCUGGUGGUGCUCUGAAGCCAGUUGACACUACUGAAGAUGAGACUUGUGAUGUCACAGAGCAUUUUUGGUUCCCAAUGCUGGCUGGUCUCUCUGAUCUGACCUCUGAUCCUAGACCAGAGGUUAGAAACUGUGCACUUGAGGUUCUUUUCGAUUUGCUGAACGAGCGAGGUGGCAAAUUUUCAUCCACAUUUUGGGAGAACAUUUUUCACCGCGUUCUGUUUCCGAUUUUUGAUCAUGUCAGACAUGCUGGAAAAGAGAACCUGAGCUCUACUGAUGAAUGGCCACGUGAAAGUAGCAUUCAUUCACUCCAAUUGCUGUGCAACCUGUUCAACACUUUUUACAAGGUAUGAGAAGUGGUUGAUAAGGAAUGUGUUAAUUCUGCUACUUCUGAAAGCUAGAUUUUCCUUAUUUGAUCCAUACAAUCUGUUUUAAGUUCAAAUAAUUAAAAAAUGAUGAGUUUAAGUCCAAUUCCCGACCUUCUGUAGAGUAAUUAUUUGCCUAAUGACUUGCAUAUGUGUGAUAGUAUGGGCGUGCUUUUAGUGUGAUCUUCUGACUUGUUUCUCAUCUCCCCAGAUCUUACUAUGUGGGGGUGUUUCCCCUGUUCUGUCUGUGUUGUUUCAUUACUUCCCUGUAUGCUUUGGCAACUGUACUAGGCUAAACCAGUGUGCCCAUUGGUCUAAAAAACCAAGCUAGUGUGUGAAUCAAAGUACUUUGUAAUCAAUUAUUUGACUAUUAUAACCGUGCACUUGCAUCAUAUUCUUUGUCCAGCAUUCUCCAAUUUGGAUGUUUGCUUUAUGGUGUAAUCAAUUAUCUGAAUUGCUUGAUAAGCUUGUUGCCUGAUUCACCAGCAUUGGGGGUAGUUACAUUUGGAACUGCACUAGGCUAAACUAGUGUGCCAAUUGGUCUAAUAAACUAAGCUAAUGUGUCAAUCAAUGUACGUUGUACCCAUCUGGUGGACCUCCACUCGUGCGAACAUAGAUUACUUGAUACUCAUCCUUUUUACCCCCCUCACCUGGGAAAAUGUUGUUUUUUAAGCCAUUUCACUUACUGUUGAAGUGCUGGUUGUAGAUUCUUAGGUUUCUGAUGAAAGGAAACAACUUAAAGUAAUUUUAUACAUCUGCUACAAUUCCCUUCCAUCCAAAUAGUAGAAUAUCAUGGAUUGCUUUGGCAAAGUGUUAGGAAAAUUGUUGAAGAUGAAUUUGAAUAAGAAGGUUUAACUUUUCUCUUUUGUUGAUGAAGGUAUAAAGUGUCAUGGAGCUGUAACUAUUGGUUUUUACCGUUUAGAAAGAAUCAUUUGAUUUUUAUCAAAAUCAAGUUUUCUAUCUUGAUACGAACUUCUCAAGACUUAAUCUACAGUUUGUGAUAACACUUAUGGUCAUUAUAUUUGCUAAACUUCACGUGUCCAUAGGUAUUGCACCUCUCAGCCAAUUAGACAUGUUUCUUUGGAUUUGGCACUGAAUGUUAAUAGAUCAGGUAAAAGCAAGUUCCAGCUUUUGUGUGAGGCCCAUCAUAGAUAAAUAUCACACUCAAGUUCCUUCCACUUCUGGUGCUGUAAUCUUAUUGCUGAUUAUUUCACGAAAAGAGAGAUGCUUUCUUUUCUCACUUGUUCUCUGUUUAAAGCAGGGGAGGGAUGUGGGCCAUAUUAAGUUGAUGUAUCUAGGUAUAAGUGGAAAGUAGGGUACUUAUUUUUGGGUAAGUGGGCAAAAUUUUGGACAACCCAAAAAAUAGACAAAAUAGUUCAUUUAGAAUCAAAGGAUUAUCUUUUCCCACUCAUGCCACUGCAAUAUCCGUCUUUUCUGAUACACCCUCUGUCCCAUUUUAUGUGGCACCAUUUGACUUGGCAUGGUGUUUAACAAUAAAAAGGAAGACUUUGUAAACUUGUGGUCUAAAACAAUUCUUAGAUAUUUGUGUGGUUGUAAAUCAUUUCAUUAAAGGUGAAAGGGGAAUUUUAAAGUUAAAUUGUUUCUAAUUAUAGUAAGGUGACAUUCUUUUUGGGACGGACUAAAAAGGCAAGGGUGUCACAUAAAAUGGGACAGAGAAGUAAGUAAGAUUUUCUAAUACUAACCGAAUUUUAAACUCCUUUAUUCAUACUCAAGCUCCCUCUUAUAGUAUUCGAAGGCUUCUCUAUCUACUGCUUUUGGUAACUCCUUAUAGCACACAACUCAUAUUCAAAAUUUAGAAAUUUUAAUCUCUGCGUAGAACCUGAUGAGAAAGAUAACUUCAGCAGAAGCCUGGUGUUGUGGUGUUGGUCCAUGCUUGAUGAUUGCAAGAACAACAGUCCUGGGCUGAAGAAUGAGGCCAAGUCCUAGAUCACUUUGAGCUCAUGGUCCACUUGUAUUAUGUAUGUUAUGUCACCUAAAAUACCAGUUUGUUGAACUUCUGAAGUGGAACUCACAAAUGUUGCCCCCUGAUUCUGCUGUAUUUUGCUGUUCAUACCCAAUAAUGGAAUUUGAUAAGGAGUCUCGUGUUGAAGUACAGCGUUACAUGUAUCGUGCAUACAAAUCCUCUGUUAUGCAGUUCAUUCCCAAUAGUGAAAUUUGUUUUGGAGUCUUUUUUUUUUGAAAUCAGUAACUUUGUAUCAUAUCAAGGAUCAAAACAGUACUUACCCUAGUACUGAAACCAUAUUUACAAUAGAGCUCUAGUGUCUUUCCUCUCUAGCUAUAAAGAAUCUAGACAUCUAUGAUAGACAUAGUAUCAUUAGAGUAAAUUUGAUUACACCAAAAACAUAGCAGUAAGAUGAAGUUCAACUUGAUCUUCUGCACAUCAUUCUUUAAGCUCUCAAAACAUACUGGAAUUCCUCUCCUUCCAAAUUGUCCACCAGAUACAAGCUAGGGACAAUUCGCCAUCUACUCCUAUCCUUAGCAUGUGAACAUGUUCCCUCCCAGCUGCUAAGAGCCUCUGUUAUCUUGCCUGACAUUGUCCACGCUAUACCCUUAAGGUUUAGGAUGAUUCUCCACAAAUGAGCUGUGAAUGUACAAUGCAGAAAUAGAUGGUUGACUGUCUCAGCUGUUUCUUUACGUAGGAAGCAUCUUGAGCACAGUGUCAUACCUCUGCUCAUCAAGUUGCCCACUGUUAAAGUGGCCUCCUUUGCUAGUAACCAUACAAAAAUUGAUACCUUGUGGGGAACUUUUAUCCUCCAAAUCUGCUUCCAUGGCCAGUUUGCUAUCUGGUGGUUGGACUGGUUCAUAAUUUUAUAUGCAACAUUGACCUUAAAAAUGCCUUUGGAGUUGCCCUGCCACCAUAAAUGAUCUUCACCAGCUUGAACCCCAGGAAAUUGAUCAAGUUUGCUGAGGAAAUCAGCCACUCUUUGAACCUCCCAAUCAUUAAAAUGUCUUCUAAAAUUCAAGCUCCACCCGUCAGAUGUCCACAUUUCAGCUAUAGUUUUCUGUUGGUGAAGGAGUAGGUUGAAGAUAUCCGGAAAGACCAGUUCCAUGAUACCAACCUUGUGCCAAUUAUCCUUCCAAAAUCUGGUUUUGUUUCCAUUUACCACUUUGAUUCUUGAUUGAGUUUUCAACUCAUUCCAGAGGGAUCUGAUAGACCUCCAUAGGCUGACCCCAUAUGGAGUAUUGACUUCCUUGGUCAUCCAGCUAUCCUCUUGUACAUAUUUGGCUUUAAUCACUCUUCCCCACAAUAAGUGGUUUUCUUUGGUGAACUUCCACAACCACUUCAUCAUUAGAGCUUUGCUUUGGAUUUCCAGGUUCUUGAUACCCAAACCACCCCCUUUUUUUGCACAAAUGACUGAGUUCCACUUGACCAAAUGGUAGCCUUCUCUUUGUCACCAUGCCAUAAGAAGUUCCUCCUAAUUCUAUCCAACCUCUUGAUGACCCCUGCUGGAAUGGGAAACAAGGACAUCAUGUAUGUUGGAAGUGCAUCAAGGACUGAGUUAGUCAAAGUCAGUCUACCUCCUCUUGACAAGUAUUGGGUCUUCCAUCUUGCUAAUUUCUUUUCACAUUUCUCAAUAACAGUAUCCCAAAUCUCAAUAGACUUUGAAUUGGCCCCCAAAGGCAUUCUCAGAUAAAGGGUUGGCAAAGACCCUACCUCUCCUCCUAGAAUAGAUGCCAACAGAUUCAUGUGGGGCACACCAUUAAUGGGGUAAAGAAAGCUCUUACCCUAGUUUAUGUGAAGGUCUGACAUGCCUUCAAAGAGCACUAGGAUUAUUCUGAGACUAGUAAAAUGACCCGCGCUUCGCGCGGGAAUUUAACAUCACGGAAUUUAUAAAAUAAUACUUAAAACCUAUCCGUCAUUAAAACUAAACACUAUAUUAUCUUACAUACAAGAUUACAUAGCAACAAACGUUAAUAAUGUAAAGGAAAAUUAAAAUUAUUACAUUUUAUCAUUUAUCCUUAAUAACAUAAGCAUAAAUUAAUGAUUGUAAAAAUACAUACCAGGAUCUGUAACAUAAGCAAUGGUGUCAGUGAGCCAUUCAACAGGAGCAAAGUUCAUAAAUAUUUAUAUUUAAUUGUGAAGAAGAAGAAGAGGUUCAGAAUUUUCGUUGUUUUAAAAUGAGAGGAAUUCCCUCUAUUUAUAGACAACAAAGGGCAGUGUGAACAAAUGUUAAUUGUGCCUUAUCGGAAAGGUCAUAACCUUUCAUAAAAGUCACAACUUUUCAUAAAAGUCACAACUCUUCAUAAAAGUCGCAACUCUUCAUUAAAGUCAUAACUUUUCAUAAAAAGUCACAACUUUUGAUAAAAGUCGCAAUUCUUCAUUAAAGUCGCAACUUUUCAUGAAAGGGGAAGGCUAUUUUUGUAAAUAAAUAAAUUAAAAAGGAAUUCUUGUUUGUGGUGGCGCCACGUAGGCAGGCCUAAGGUUCUCUUUUAUAUAUAUAUAUAUAUAUAUAUGAUAUAUGAUGUCUCAAUUGGUUUCUAUCAGCAUCACAAAAUAUGAGGGUAUCAUCAACAUAUUGCAAAUGAGUCACCUCUAGGCUAUCACUCCCAGCCCUAGAUACAUCAAAACCCUUUAUCCAUCCAUACAAAUCAGCUGUUUUGAACAUAGUAUUCAGUCCUUCCAUGGCAAUGUUUUGGAGUCUUACCUAGAAGGUGUACCACUAUCACUAUGUGUAUUGUGUAUGCAGGUCAUCUGUAAUUUUUAUAUUAAUCUGUGGUUUUAUUAGGAUUUAUAAGAUUGUAAAUUUGUAACUAACAAUUUUAUUUACGAGAAACCUACUGCAGCAGAUUAUGUUUUAUAUCUGGCACCAGAUUGUCAUGCCCUUGUUGUUUCUUGAGAAGGAAUUGUUGAAUUGAUCAUGUGAUUUUCUUUAAAAAGUAUUGCAAUCUCUAUUUUCUGAGAUUUUGAAAUUUUCUAAUUCAUGAGCAUUUUGGUUGUAGAAUGUGUGUUUCAUGCUUCCCCCACUGCUGGGUUUGCUUUUAGAUUGUGCCCAAAAAUCUGAUCAGUCUGUAGUUGCAAUCUCUCUCGGUGCAUUGGUCCAUCUUAUUGAAGUUGGUGGACACCAAUUUAGUUACAAUGAUUGGGAUACCUUGCUGGAAAGCAUAAGGUGCAAUUCUAAUUUUAUUAAGUUGUCUGUUCUUUCAUUCUUUCUGGUAGACUAUUUUAUUCUCAUGAUAUAGUUGAUCUAUUUUGUGUCUCAGAAAUGCUUCAUACGCAACACAACCCCUUGAGCUUCUGAAUGAUUUGGGUUUUGAGAACUCAAAGCAUCACACCACACUGGUAAGAAAAAAGAAUUGAGAUCAUUUGCUGAUAUUGAAUUUUGAAUUUUUGCUAAUUUUGAGUUGUGUUGGAUAUAAUCAGCAUAAUGUUACUGAAAAUGGAAAUGGUGGUGGCCAUUCAUCAGACGUGCUGGACGAUACUCAUGGAUCAGAGCGUCAUGCUGAUUUGGAGGAAACUGGAGGUUGUUGCUGAGGAAAUUCAAUCAUUUUAUUCUUUUCUAUUGAGUAUUGCUUGUAAAUAAUUAAAGAAAACAAUCUUUGUAGGUAUGCCCUCACCAUCUGGGAGAUCUGAGAAACCUACGGUUCUAGAAGGUCUUGACCGUAGUCAAACAAUAGGUCAGAAAAUUAUGGGAAAUAUGAUGGACAACCGCUUCAUCAGAAGUUUCACCUCUAAACCAAAGAUUCAGGCUUCUGAUAUUUUACCAACUUCACCGUUAAAGGUAUUGCAGGAUUUUUGGUUGAUGUGCUGUCCUAACUGUUGUAUGUAAGUUGGAAAUGUCCCGGAAAAAAAAUGUAUUUGCCAGAAAUUGGGGAACGCUGUCGCCUACAAUUUCAUAGAAUUCUCAAAUAAAAAAUCCUUCUCUUAUAAAUUAAAGAGCGUAUUAGGUACAUAAUUCAUUUUUUGGUUGGUUGCUAUGUUAAUUCACAUGUGAAUAUAUCUCUGUUAAAUGCGAAGCUCACAUGCUAUACCAAGAUGACGUAUUAUCUGAUAAUUAAUUAUUCAUUUUUGUGUAAGUUGGCAAAUUAGUCAUCAUUUAUUCACUAAUAUACUCUUAUAAUAUAAAAGAGCUGGUGUCCAUUUACUGCGUUAAUCAAAAUUCUUUUUCUAGUCAAACUAUGAUAUUCAUUUGAAACAGAGAAUCCUUAAGAGUGCAUGUUAUAGUGAUAUCCUUACCUAAAAGAGGAUGAUGCUAAUGUUUCAAAAACUAUCCAUCAAAAGGUGAUUUUUUUUUUCUUUUCUCACAAUAUCUAAAGAGAAUACUUCCAAUAAUGGAUGUCUUGUUGAUAUUCUUUCUUGUAUCAUCGAUGUUUCAAGAAAGUAAUGGGUGAAUAUCUAUGUUGCAUUUGUUAUUGAGCUGCAAUAUUAACUGGUUGCUUUACCUAUUUUAGUACUUCCACUGAGUGUCGUUUUAUAUUAUUUUGAUCUGUUUCUUUUGUUUGCUCUUCUAUCUAAUGUAUAGUUAUUAGCUGAUGAUGCGGAGCCUGUAGCAAAAGACGAGGAUGAAAGUUCAAUGUUGGCUACUAUUAGGAGCAAAUGCAUCACACAGUUGUUACUUCUCAGUGCAAUUGAUAGCAUUCAGGUAUUGCUCGUCCUUUUCAACUGCAGUGCUAAAUUUCUCUAUCCAAUGCUCCAAAGAAAUCAUUGGAGCUGUUGCAAUAGCUUCUGGUAUUGAUAAGGCCUAAGUUUUGAUGGUUAGUUGACAAUAAUGUGGUAAAGGAUCCUACUUUUUACCAGUCGCUGCUACUAUUAUUUUUUCCCCUAUCAACAGUUAUAUGGCUCAUAGAACUUUAAGGGGUCGUUUGGUAGGGUGUAUAAGAAUAAUGCUAAAUAGAGUGUAUUAGUAAUGCUUGUAUUAGUUUGGUUUGGUGUAUUAAAAAAUAGCAUGCAUUGCAUAAUUUAAAAAAAGAUUUGACGCAACUUCAGCUUAAUGUGGACAUGACCUUAGACAGGAGGGUGUGGAGGACACGUAUUAGGGUAGAUGAUUAGUAGGUAGUGUAGUGUUGUCUUGCUUUGGGUAGUUGGUGUUUGCCAUUGCACUGGUUGUGUUAAUGUAGUUCUUGUUUUGAUAUUCUUCAUAAAUUUAUUAUUGUUUUCAAUAAUCUAUCCUAGUAAGUUGUUCAUUGUAUUUCGAUUAUUGUACUUUUUUGUUGUUGAUUGUUGCUCCAUUCCGGUUUGCACUAUAUUCUUGUGACUUGCUAUAUUUUCUACUUUGUAUCUGGGAUUGUUGCAUUUGAACCGAGGUUCUUUCGGAAACAACUUCUCUACCUCCACGAGGUAGUGUAAGGUCUGCGUACAUUCUACCCACACUAGACCCCACUUGUGGGAUUUCACUGGGUACGUUGUUGCAUAAUAUUUUUUUAAAAAUAAUUUAUUACAAAGAUACCCUCCACAAAUAUGUGGAAAAACUAUAGAAAUUUUUUUGAGGGGCAAUUGGGUCUUUAACCAUGCUAAUGCAUGCUUUAAAGUCCCUUGCAUUAUAAUACCAUGGAUUUUCAUAGGCUGCAAAAGUGUACCAAACAAGGUGCUAUUAAUAUACAAAAUUAAUGCAUGCAUUAUUUCUUCUAAUACACUAUACCAAACGACUCUUAAGUGUCAUUUCCAUUUGAUGGCCUUAUAGAUGACAAAGGGGCCUUACAUGAUUCAAAAUUGUAGCUUCUAUAUUCAAAGUGACCCUCAAUAUAUAGAAGGACCUCAUUUGUAACAGUAAGCUGUUUUAGGUAUUUUUAUGAGCACAUAUAUGUUGAUUUGCUGUUUUACUAUUUUUUUGGAUGGAAAUCUGACCGCUUGUGAAUAGCUAAGGAUAAAAUUUUCAAAUUUUACUGGGGAACUCAAUAAAGCACAGGGAUGGAAAAAUUCUGUUGAAGAAUAAUGACACUGUUUGUGAGCUAUUGCAUAGGAGCGGGGUUUUUACCCUGUGCGCACCCAAAGGGUAGCGGCUGCGGGUUUCCCUUGUCAUAAAAAAAUAAAUAAUGACACUGUUUUCUAAUUUUUCCCAAGAUGGGUAAAUGUGAUAAAAAUGAUUUUUCUUUUUUAUCCAAUAUGUGACACCACAAGAGGGUUGUGUUCAAUUGGAAACUAUUGAAGAAAUCAGAGAAUAAGUCAUAAGUCAUCUCUGAAUUGAACUGAUCUUUAAGUCUGAAAAACGGCAAUACCUAAAUGGAAAUGAUAUAUUACUAACUAACAUGGUUCCUUCACUUGGCUUGAAGUGCCCGUAUUAAAUGGGUGUGGGAAUUUGUGCAGAAUCUUCAAAUUAUGCUAAAAGUUAACAAAAAGUUGCAUGCACCUAUAAAUUUAUAAUUCAUGAAAUAAAACUUAUUCCUUUUUUUCAUCAGAAAUAACCAAACGCCUAUGGAUAGCUAUAUUUCCGUCAUGUAUUAUUUUGGGGAUUUACCCUAUAAUGCUGUUAGAGUAUUACCCCAUUUCUUUAUGUGAAUAACCAUGGUGUUUGGGCUAGCACGCGCGGAGUAUUACCCAAUUUUACAUGGCAAUAGUUGAUUGAAUGGAGGUGGACUACUAUGGUUCCAUUGUACAAGAACAAGGGUGAUAUCCAAAAUUGUAACAAUUAUAGGGGUAUCAAAUUGCUAAGCCACACUAUGAAGGUUUCGAAGAAUCAAUUUGGAUUCAUGCUGGGGUGUUCGACUACUGAAGCCAUUUACCUUGUGCGGAGAAUGGUGGAGAAGUAUAGGGAAAGGAAGAGGGACCUUUAUAUGGUGUUCUUUGACCUUGAAAAGGCCUACAACAAAGUCUCGAAAGAUGUUCUGUUGAGGUAUUUGGAGGCUAAGGUGUUCUGAUGGUGUAUAUUAGGGAGAUAACAAACAUGUAUGAUGGGGCAAAGACUUAGGUUAGAACGGUGGGAGGAAACUCGGAGUACUUCCCAAUUGAGAUGGGGCAACAUUAGGGAUCAAUUCUCAGCCCUUUCCUAUUUGCCUUAGUGAUGGAUGAGUUGACACAGUCUAUUCAGGAAGAGGUUCCUUGGUGUAUGUUAUUUGCGGAUGACAUAGUAUUGAUUGAUGAGACACCAGUGACCAGACUGAGUUAAUGCUAGGUUGGUGGUUUGGAGAUAAGACUCUGGAGUCCAAAGGGUUCAGGUUGAGCAGGACCAAAACAGAUUGUUGAAAGUGCAAAUUCAGUGUUGAGUUGGAUGAAGCAAAUGUGGAAGUGAUGCUUGCCACACAGGCUAUCCCAAGAGAGAAAGUUUUUAAGUAACUUGGGUCCCUACUCCAGGGUAGUAUGGACAUCGACGAUGAUGUUACUUAUUGCAUUGGGGCGACAUGGAUGAAAUGGAUGCUUGCCUCUGGAGUCUUGUGUGAUAAGAAGGUACCACCUAAAUGUAAAGGUAAGUCUUAUAGAAUGGUGGUUAGACUGUCCUUGUUGUAUGGGGUGAAGUGUUGGCCAGUCAAAAACUCACAUGUCCAGAAGAUGUAUGUUGCGGAGAUGAGGAUGUUGAGAUGGAUGCGUGGCAUACUAGGAGCGACAAUAUUAGGACUGAAGUUAUUCGGGAGAAUGUGGGAGUGACCUUUGUGGCGAACAAGAUGAGGGAAGCUAGGCUGAGAUGGUUUGGGCAUGUGCAAAGGAGGUGAUUAACGCCCCAGUAAGGAGGUGCGAGAGGCUGGUUGUAGGGGGUACUCAUAGGGGUAGAGGUAGGCCGAGGAAGUAUUGAGGAGAGGUGAUUACACUGGACAUGACACAACUUCAUAUUGCCGAGGACAUGGCUCUAGAUAGGAAGAAGUGGAGGUCGCAUAUUAGGGUAGAAGGUUAGUUGGGGUGAAGUGUUGCCUUGCUGUGCGUAGGGUUAGGCUUGUUAGUGCAUGACGUAGUACUAGUCGUACCUUUGUAGUUCUUGCCAUAUUUUGUGUAUUGUAUUUUCGACCACACUAUUUUGUUGUUGUUAUUGUUUGUUUGUUUGUUUGUUUCUUUUAGAUUGUACCCUACUUUUCUUAUUAACGGUUAUACUUUCUUCAUUAUUUUCUUCUUCUUUUACUUGGGUUCGGUGCUCUUGAGCCGAGGGUCUUUCGAAAACAACUUCUCUACCUCUUCGAGGUAGUGGUAAGGUCUGCGUACACUCAACCCUCCCACCCCACUUAGUGGGAUUUCAGUGGGUAUGUUGUUGUUAUUGUAAUAGUUGAUUGUAUAUGGAAUUGUGAAGGUUUUCUACUUAGAUUAGUUUUCAGAUUAUUUUUUUCCCUUAGGAAUGAUGAAAGUACAAUUCCUUAGUGUUAGGGUGAAAUUGAGAUUAGAUGUCUGGAUGUGGAAAAUUGUUAUAGUUUGUUAAUCACUCGUUUGGACUUUGAUUAAUCUUCUGACAACAUUGUAUCAUUGAUUUCAUCAAGUAUGUAAACUGAUUUGGAUAAGCCAUUUUACAUUCAAACAAUCUGAUAAAUCAUUAAAUUUGAUAUUGUUAUUACAAAUUAAAAGCAACAUAUGUCUUCUGCUAGUAGUAAUUAAAAUAAUGGACGGAACAAGAAACUUAAAAGCAUUUCACUUUGAAGAGCUUUGAACAGAGUGACUGCCCAAGAGUUUUGACAACACGAAAAUAGGAAGAGCAAUUGUAAGCCUUCUCUGAUCUUGGUAAUAUAUAAUGUGAAAACUGUGAAUAUACUACAUCCUGAACUUGGUGUGUCCGUGCCUAUAGUUUCUUUUGGAGCGAGUCUCUAUAUUUAAGACAGCUCCAUUUGCCAUUCUAUCCACCGUACAAACUUUAUAGUGCAACUUUGUAAAUAUUUUUCUGCUCUUCCUAUUUCUCCUUUUUGAUGUGCUUCAAACAUGCAGAAGAAAUACUGGAACAAGUUAAACCCAACACACAAGAUAUUUAUAAUGGACAUCUUGUUCUCUGUGUUAGAGUUUGCUGCAUCAUAUAAUUCGUAUUCCAAUCUCAGAUUGCGGAUGCGCCAAAUACCUGCUGAAAGGUUGGUAUCAUCUGCUAUGUUAUUUCCACAGAUUCAUUUUUCUCCUCCUUUUAAACCUAUAUUUUUCAAAAUUGCUACCAUGUUGUGUUUGAUUUACCUUAUUGUUGCACAGGCCACCAUUUAAUCUUCUCCGCCAGGAAUUAGCAGGAACUUCCAUCUAUCUUGAUAUCUUACAGAAGACGACAGCUGGGAUCAAUUCUGUAAGGGAAGAAUCAACUGAAACUACCGUUGCUCAGAGUGGAAAUAGUUUUAUGAAUAAUGAUGCAGCUUCUAGUGAUAUGUUUCAAGAGCAGGGAUCAAUUAAAGAAGAUAAGUUUCAACAAAUUGCAGAAGAGAAACUGGUGACAUUUUGUGGACAGGUUCUGAGGGAGGCUUCUGAGUUCCAGUCCUGCACGGCAGAGAGUGCUAAUAUGGAUGUUCAUCAAGUUCUGGAAUUGCGUUCUCCAAUCAUUGUUAAGGUUGGGAGUGCAUGAUUUGUUGAUGUUUCUAGCUUUGUCUUUAUUGUCUUUUUACUGCUUUUAACUAACUAAUGUGUCGUCAAGGCUUUGGUCUAGUGGUAAGAGCUGUGAUGUGUGUGCUAGGUGCAUGUCACGGGUUCGAACCCUGUCGCAGACAAAAGCAUGAUACUUUAGUGGAGAGGGGCAGGGUGUGUGCUCAUUAUCCAUUGAGUUUCAAACUGUGCACCACUAACCCUCGGGGAUUUCUUGGUUAUAAAAAACUUCUUUCAAUUAAUCAUCAAAAUAUUUUUUUAGUAGCUCACUUCUACUAAGCCUCUUCUUUUUUGCCCCUUCGGAACUUGUAGAGGGACAUAUUGUUAAAACAUAAUUGAACAGAUAGAAGUGUGUCCUUUACAAUAGUUUUAAAUUUUAGAUGAGGUGGUCACAUAAUUCAACGUGGUAUUAGUUCAGAUAUAGGUUUUAGGCUCAAAGUCUUACUGCCACCAUUAACAACAGCAUUUCUUCACACUUGAUUUAAUAAAAAAAGAUUUUGGCUUUCAUGCGAGGUAUGUUGAGAAAUAUUAAAUAAAAAAAAUGUCUCCUACUAAUAGUUUAAGCUUUUAGAUGAGGAGGUCACACUAUUUAACAAGAAAACAUGUGUUAUGAUUGUAGCAUAUGGCUUCACUGCUAGCGUCACGAUCAAUAUAGAAAUUUGGCAUUAUUUUUCAGCCAACAAGGUAUAGUUUAUGCUGUACAAAUCUGUGAUGGUUGCUAGGGGAUCGAGUCCAUCAAUCAACACAAACUUGGAAGAUGCUGGUUCUCAUACCAAAGCUGAAUGCUUUGCUCAUGACUACUUAUGUUAUACCCAAUUGACCAUCAGUCUCAAUUAGCAUCAUGUCCUUUAAUGUUAAGAUAUUUUAGCCUUAGAAAUCUCACAAUCUCUCUUGGUUCUUGUUUCCUUCUAGACAAAUUUCUGAUUUUUCACUGACAGAAAAGUGUUCUAUUGUUAAGACAGAGAUCACUUUUGGUUGAAUCACCCUGUUCCUGACUUACUAUUCAAAAUUAUACUGAAGUUUCAGUAUGCUACUUGAAACUCUCACUUCUUGUUUCAAUCUGAUUUUCUUCUCCUUAUGACCCUCUCCAACACCUGGUCUACCACAUCAUUAUUGCUAUAAACUCAGGAGGUACUGGUGCAUUGAUGGUACUUUUCACUUUGAAUUGGGUGUGUCACGUUUCUGAGUUCUGUACAUUCAUUUUCUGGUAAUUUCUAUGAGAUUUAGGAAUUGCAGUGGUGGUUUUCUCAUGCAUUCUUUUAUUUUAAUUGUCUUUCAGGUGCUGAGGGGUAUGUGCUCUAUGAACAGCCAAAUAUUCAGGAGUCAUCUUAGAGAGUUCUAUCCUUUGAUUACUAAACUUGUAUGCUGUGACCAGGUAAUCUUUUCCCUAAAAUGUUAAUAUACAAAAGAAGUAAUUCAAUUUCUUAGUAGUAGCUCUUUGUAUGAAGUGUAUUUUUGCAUGGUAAUAACAUACUAGUUGGGGCUAUAAUCAUCGUGGAUAAUGGGUACCAGUUGCAUGUGAAAUCACUCUCCACAUCGCAAGUAAUGGGACCCUUUCUGUUUUAGUUUAUUGGAAAGAUCAGCUACUCAUAUCGAAGAAAAUCUUCAGGCAGAAACUGUUUGUAGUCUUAGUUAUCCCCCUGAACUUUUUGUAGUUUUAGUUAUUCCGCUGGACUUGACUAUUUGAUAGGAUUUACCGUCUUUCUUCCCUUCCCCUUGGACAACCUCAGCCCAAGAUGUGAGAGACCCUGCCAGGUGAAUUUGUUUGUCCACUUGGUAUUUUCUGAAAAUAUAAUAUAUGAUUUUACCUUUUUGAAUGCAUCAAUUUUUUGGAUCAUUUUAAAAUUUUAACACCUUUAUGUAGGCUAAUUUUUUUAAUUAGCAAAACAAUUUUUUGCUCGAGAAAGAAAUAACACAGUUGAAACAACUAGUCAUUGCAUAUAAAGAAGAAAUACACAGUUGAAAGUCUAUUAUUAGGCUUAAAUGAUUUUUUAGUCAGUUAAAGAUAAUGUAGUUUUGGCCAUAUUUUUAACAGAUAUGCAGUUGGAAAUUGCUAUUAAUCAUUUUUUAUGUCAUUCCAAAUUGCUAACGGUCUUGUUCUACUUCAGAUGGAUGUACGUGGAUCCCUUGCAGAUCUUUUUAAUAUGCAGUUGAAUCCGCUGUUGGCUUAAGAUGUGUUGAGAGCCAAGUGAGGCAUGAUUUUCUAUGAAAAGCUCGGGAGGUUGAAUUGAUAAUUGGUGUACUACUACUCUCUACUGCUUUCCUCAGGAUAUCGAUAUUCUAAUAGUUUCUUCAGGUUAGAUUUCAAGGCUUAUAGAACAUCUUGUAAUAGACGGAGAGAUUAAGAUUCACACAUGUAUGUACACCGUUAUGAUAGUGACAAAUGACAAUUUUGUUGGACUUGCAGAAGAUAACUGCCUUGAUUGUGCAAAUUAGGCAUGGAUUUUACCAGUCUUUGUUCCUAGUUUUUUCUGAAACAGUUGCAGGCUUAUGUAUGUAAGAGGCCUAAACAUAAUUAUAGAGUGAUAUUCCUUUUCUGAGAGUCAUUGUAAUGUACUAUUUGAUGUAGUGACUUCGUAGUGUUCUGUCUGUAGUCUUACUACUGUAGUAGGAUAAUGCUAUUUUUAUUCUUUCUUGUAUUAAAACUGUUAAAAUUUCGUACAAUGCUUCGUCACUUUUGAAAGGUUUGAAACCUUUACGCAACAUAUGGUCCGAAAAUCUAACAUAUAUUUCUUCAAAGGUGUAUCAAGGAAAAGAACUCUUGUGUUUAGUCGUUUUUCAACAUUUCUUGCUUGAGUUUUUUUACCAGCACCCAAGAUGGGAGACGUAGUUGGUUUUGGGACUCCCAUCUAAUGCUUAGUCAUAGUUAGAGCUGUUAAUAUGGGUUGAACGGAGCAAGUAAAUAUAAUUAUUUUGUGCUGACUAAAUAAAAUAAACUCUCUGAUACAUUAAAAUAUAUUUGUACUCGUGAUCUUGAUAUAAUUAUUAUAUGUAGUAACUAGUAUAUAUUGUUCAUUGUUUUGAUUUAUCAAAGGGCGAAAAUCUCUUUUGGUUCAAAAUCAAUUUACCUCUUAAAUUGAAUGAUGAUAGUGUAACAAGAGCUUAACUCUUGAUACCAAAUUAGUGAAAGGAAGAAAGGAAGAGGAGAACACGAGAAGAAGAGAGAAAUUUUGAUUCAAUAAUAAUGAUUCCCCUUAGCAGAGUAGUACGAUUUGUAUAUAGCAAAUCUGACAUUUUCGAUGCUAAGGGCAGCUGUCAAAUUCUCUAAUAGAAUGUAGGACUAGUGCCACAAUUGCAAUUAACUAAGCUUAAGGACUAAAAAGUAAAUACUUAAUACUAAAAUAAAGGGACUGAAUUAACUUAUUUAAAACUUAAUUAAAACAGUCACAAUAGCUAAUUGUGGUGCUUCUUAAUAAUGGACUCAAAGGCAUUCUUCUGAUCAAAAGAAUACUUGUAUGAUCUGAGAUCGAAAGGUUGAGCUCUAGGGACUAGAUUGAUCGCAUGAUCACAAGUCCUCUCCGGUGGCAGUUCCUUGGGCUCAUGAAAGAUGGCAGCAUGGUUCUGUAAUAACUUCUUGAUGCAAGGAUGCAUCACUUUCAGUGAUAGUUCAGCUACAAUUUCACAGGUACCACAUUGCAACAUUCUCCUUAAAACUUUGGUGUCCAUAGGGGUGACCUCAAGGUCCUUUUGAAUUCCAUACAAUGUGAUUAGUCUCCCAUUAGUCAUAAAACUUAUAUUGUGAGGUCUAGUGUGCAAAAUUACAGGCGCAACCAUAUCUAUCCAGUCCAUUCCCAAAAUCGUAGCACACCCAACCACUUUCAUCAAUCUCAUCUUAAAAUUAAAUUGUUCACCCUGCAUCCUCCACCCAAAAGAUGGACUCUCUAGUUGGCAAUUCAUCAACUGCCCAUUAGCCACUGUGAUUCUCAUGGGUUGUUGCAUUGGUUGGGCUGGUAAUCGAAGCUGUUUAACAAUGUGAGGAUCCACAAAAGAGUGAGUAGAACCACUAUCGAUUAAAAUUGUCAUUGGUAGUUUUCCAGCAUAGCCUACAAUUGUAAUUGUAGAUAUGUGUUCACUGGAGGUACUCAAGCCCAAUAAUGCAUUUAAGGAUACUUCAACUUGAACCUCACCUUCUUCCUCUAGAGUAUCAGGUACAUCCAUAAACUCUUCAGGUUGUUCCACUUCACCUUCCAUUUCGACUUCAUCAAUAACAUGUAACCCCUUCUGCUUGCAUUGGUGACCCGGAAAAUACUUCUCCUUACACCUAUAACAAAGACCUUGUACCCUCAAUGCCUCUAAGUUAGGUGGUAAAGUGUUUGGCUUGAAUGGAUCCCUAACUUGUGGUCUUUGAUUAGGAUAGGUUAUCCUCAAUGGUGCUUGAUUUGGAGAAUGAACAAUAGGGGGUCUUACAGCAUUUGGUUGUGGGUUCCUCGAAUAAGUGAUAGCUACUGGUCUUGGAUUUGGAACAAAAGGAAUAAGAGCCUGGAAUGAUUCUUCAUACAACUUAGCAAUUUCAUAAGCAAUAAGCACCGCAGUGGGAUUAGCUAAUUUAACCAAGGGCUUCAAUUCUGGUUUAAGACCAUUGAUGAAACUCGCUACAAAGUGAGUUUCAUUCAACAAGGGGUUAAUUAUAGUCAUGUAGCUAGUGAGUUCCUCAAACUUAUCUUGGUAUUGAUCCACUGUCCCCAUUUGUAUGAGUUUUUUAAAUUCGUCAACAAUGUCCUGAGGUCUAAUGUUUCCAAAUCUCUUGCAAAGCUCAGUGAAAAACCUCCGCCAACCUUCCCCUAUGGUUGACUAGAUAGCUAUCAAACCAAAUAUCAACCCUUUCCCCAAGGUGUACAGAUGCAUAACUAAGCUUCUCUUGUUCCCCUAUAUUGUAUAAUUCAAAGAACUUUUCACAUUUCCUUAACCAGCUCUGAGGGUUAGUGCCAUCAAAUUCUGGGAAAUUAAUCUUUGGUUUGAGUGGUCUAUGAGUGGAAGUAGGUUCUGAAGUAUGGACUAUCGGAGUGGGAAGUAAAGGGGGGAUGAAGAAUAAAGUGGGUUUCGAAACAAAUGAGGGCUUGAGAAAAGAGGAGCAGGUGGAAAAGUGAAUCCCCGACCUACCUCAAAAGCAGAUGGAGUAAAUGGAAGGUGAGAACCGACCAUUUGAGUUGUAGAGCUUACCAUUGGGGGUUUUCCAGUCGAAGUUUGGCUAGUCUCCAGUCGAACCUGAGUUCCAGGAGCCCUUGUUGGUAUUGACUGUGGAGUCAAAUCAGUUGGGGUGGAGAGGGGAGAGCUCGGACUGUUCUGCAACGCCAUAUUCGAAAUAAUGAACUCGAGCUUCUUGUUCAUCUCACAAAUCUCACCCAACUGAACCUGAAACUGUGAUUGAUUCAGCUCGAGGGUUUCAAAACGUUUGCCCACAUCCUCUACAAAAACUGAGAGCUGACUGCGUACCAUGCGGAUAUCAUCUUGCAAGCUUUGCAGCUCUGGAGUCGACACCAUUACGUGAAGCGUUGAAGUACCAGGUGGCUUUGAUACCAUUGUAACAAGAGCUUAACUCUUGAUACCAAAUUAGUAAAAGGAAGAAAGGAAGAGGAGAACAGGAGAAGAAGAGAGAAAUUUUGAGUCAAUAAUAUUGAUUCCCCUUAGCAGAGUAGUACAAUUUGUAUAUAGCAAAUCUAACAUUUCCGUUGUUAAGGACAACUGUCAAAUUCUCUAACAGAAUGUAGGACUAGUGCCACAAUUGCAAUUAACUAAGCUUAAGGACUAAUAAGUAAAUACUUAAUACUAAAAUAAAGGGACUGAAUUAACUUAUUUAAAACUUAACUAAAAACAGUCACAAUAGCUAAUUGUGACAGAUAGGGACUUGUGAAAUAGUAGUUAUUUGAUAGAUUCAUGUUUCGGUCUGGAGAUGGAUAUACUUCUUUAUGUAAGGUUACAAGUUUUCAUAUGUAAAUCCUAUAUGUAAACUUUUACCCCUGAUACAUAGAAUAAGUUAAAGGGCAUAUUUAUGUAUUAUGCCUUAUUAUUAUUAUUAUUAUUAUUAUUAUUAUUAUUAUUAUUAUUAUUAUUAUUAUUAUUAUUAUUAUUAUUAUUAUUAUUAUUAUUAUUAUUAUUAUUAUUAUUAUUAUUAUUAUUUAUUAUUACUAUUACUAUUAUUAUUAUUAUUAUUAUCAUGUAAUAUAUUUUAAUUAACGAUAAGUGUAUCUACAUAUUUCUUCUUCAAAUUGCAAGACUAUCGCUAAAGAAAAGUCAACAAAACAUAAAAUAUCAAAGAGGUAUGUGAUUCUUUAACGUAUCCACUAUAUCAUGAUAUAUCGUGUAUCAAAAAGGUAUCAUGAUACGUCGUGUAUCAAAAAAGUCUCAUGAUACAUCUUAUAUAAAAAAGGUAUCAUGAUAUAUCAUAUAUCAAAAUGGUAUCAUGAUACAUCGUGUAUCAAAAAGGUAUCAUGAUACAUCGUGUAUCGAAAAAAUAUCAUUAUGUAAUGUAUCUAAAAUGUAUCAUGAUAUAUCAUGUAUUGGAUAGGUGUCAUUAUGUAAUGUAUCAGAAAGGUAUCACGAUACAUUAUGUAUCGAAAAUGUAUCAUUAUGUAAUGUAUCAUAUUGGUAUCAUGCUACAUCAACUAUUGAAGAUGUAUAGUGGCGUAAUGUAUUGGAAAUGUAUGAUGAUACAUCAUUUAUCAGAAAUGUAUCAUGAUACCAUCAAUAACAUAAUCUAAGCAAUUGUUCUUUGCGUUCCGAUUCCCAGAAUGUCAUAUCAGAACUUGAAUGGUUGACAAAUUGAUACACCUCAAUAAUAGACUAACUUUGAUACUUCUGUCAUGACCCGAGUCUACACUCUGGAUGUGACCGACACUCGAGAACCAUUGUUGGUUCUCAAGCGAACCCUCAUCCUGGCUGACUACAAGCAGAAGACUAACUCAAGCAUACAUAAGCUUAAAACUGAAUUAAAUUUAUCAAACUCAUAUACUCAACUUUAAAAAAGUCAAUCUGAACAAUACUCAAUGAGAAUACUUAUAGUUUGUAAACAACUCAAAAGAAAGUAAAUACAGAAAAACUCCUCAACUUUAUCUAUCUGUGAAGCCUCUACUAUUAAAGAAGGAUAUUGUGACAAGACCCACGACAUCUCAAAGCUACUAACUGUAAGGUAAAUGUGAAGUCCUUCGGAAUAUAAGAAGGCUCACCAAAGCUGACUGGAAUGUCACAUGACCUCAACGAAACGCCUGUUGAUGAUCCUGAAUACAUGUAUCUGCAUCAUAGGCCAAAUGACGUCAGUACAUUGAAUGUACGAGCAUGCAAGGGGAAAUUUGAAACAUAAAUAUAAGCUUGAACUAAUAAAAGGAAAGAUAUAUUCACCUCGUCUCAACUCAAUAUGACUCAAGAAUACUCAACUCGACUCAAGAAUACUCAACUUAACUCAAGAAUACUCAACUCAAUAUGAAAGCAACAAUAAAAGAUGCAAUAUACAAAGCUUUACAAACAGUAGACAAGGAGUCAAAAUGUAUAAAAAUACCAUAAUAAGCUCUCUACUCUUAUUUGAGAGAUUCUCUAACCGACAACUAUCACUAUGAGCUACGUACCCACGCUGCCAGAACUGUCAUAUACCUUGCCAGGGUAUAGAAAAUCCUCAACUAAGUGGAUCCACUAAGCUAUGCUUAAAAGCAAUAAGGAAUCAUCUAAAAAGUAUGAUCCUUUACCCAUGUUGGCAUACAUGGUUUAUGAGGAUUUUGAGUUGUCUGAACUCAUCCCCAUAUCGGUGCUUAAUACUACACCUAAUAAUAUAUAUAACUCAUAUAUAUCAUUCUCAAAAAAUAUAUAUAACUCAUGCUCAUAUGUUUAAAAACAUAACUCAUCCUCAACUUUAGAUUAUUACUCAAAAGGUUCUCUCAAAAGAGAUAAAGCUCAAAAACUCCUCAUAAACUCGCUUUGAAAUGUAAAAGUAUUUACACUUGGGAAUACUUAGUUCCCUUAUAUUCAUUUUGAAACAUGAAACUCAACUCUCCUCAUCCUCAUACUCAAGUACUCAAGUCUUAAAACAAGUUAUAAAUGAUUGCAAAACACUUCUCAAAUUGACUCAAAAGGACUCCCCCGAACUUUACUCUUAACUCUAUCUUGAAUUUGAAAUGUGAAUUCAAGAGUUAUUUAUGAUAUAUAGGAUCUCUCAAUGAUUAAUGUAGGUUUAGAUAGUUGGGAUUAAGAAGGGAAUGAAAGUUCGAUUCAAAGGAAUAAGUACGGAUCGAAGAACGAAAGGGAAGGUGGACUGACGCAUCCGUGGCGCACCGCGCCAGCCCUCCAUAUACUGGGGCUGGUUUUAUGGCGCACUGCAGGCGUAUGGCGCCAUCCCUCCUGGCACAUCAGGGGCGUGCCGCUCCAGUCCAAACCCAGAAAAUCUAACGAAUUCUUCUUGCUCAACUCAAGGCCUAACUCAUCUAGAAUCGAACGAUUUCCUCCCAAACUCAUUUGGAUUCUUAAACCCAACAUAAUUACAACGAAAUCCACUCAACCAAGAACAACACUCAUUCGCAAGACCCUGACCUCAAGACUCAACAAACUCAAUUAUCAAAGAAUGAAGCACAAAACCUCAAGAACUCAACAAGCUCUCAAUAUACUCAAUCUCAUGAACAAAUUCGUAAAUAAAACUCAUGAUUGGCGUGAGGGUGAACAAACCCAUCACUCUGAAAACUUACAUACCUUGAAAGAACCAUGUUCUUGGCGAAAAUCAACGAAUCUUGAAGAACGCUUGAAAACCUCAUUUUUCUCCUCUUGAAACCUCGCUCUAAAAAUCCUAAGUGUUUUGAAAAUGAAUGGGUGAUUAGAAUCUAGGCUAUUGUAGAACUUGAGAGAAAGUAGGAAUGAGUGUAGUUCUUAUGACAAACAGUGGUGAAACUGCUCCAUCCAUAACUAGAGGUGAAUUCAAAUCGUGAUUUAUACUGAACACCAGGUGGGAAACCGAAAAAAGUAUAGUUUUUAUGAUUGUUUUGUUUUUUAAGAAUGGCAUAUGAGUGACAUGUGAUACUCACGAUCGUUUUAAAGUCAAUUUAUGUAAGUAAGGUCAAAUAUGAGCACUUUAGCCUAAGAGAUUAAAAAAUAUACUUAAAGGACAAAAAUAAGUCAACCCAAGAAAAUAAGAAAUAAGGUUGGCUAAAAACUCAACAUUUCAAAUCAUUCAAGAAUGGUCAUCCUUCUAAUCAGGCAAAGGUUUAGAGAAUUCUUGAUGGCCAUUAUGUUUUCAUUAUUGAUUUUGACCAAAAAUAGAAAGACAAACAAAAGACAACAACUAGGGUCAAUUUUUUUCUUCCAAAUUGAUGUUGGGAACAUUAUUCCCCUCUUUAAUUCUUGACAAUUUUGAUCAACCUACAAUUCAUUUUGAUCAUUUCUACUCAAAAAGUAUAUAUAAUCUUCUUGUUUUUGAAUAUGGUGAGCCUACAAGGAUUAAAUGAAGAAAGAUUGGUAGCUGUGGCCAUUGAUAAAAAUAAAGGAAGCCAAUAUGCACUUAGAUGGGCUACUGAAAAUGUACUUACAAAAGGCCAAAAGGUUACAUUACUUCAUGUUCCUCAAACUCAAACUACAUCAGCACCACAAUCUCCAACAUCAUGUAACAAUGGUAUACAUUAAAAAAAUGUAUUUCGAUUAAUCGAUUUUGUAAUCAAUUUAUUUCAUAUCAUAAUGUACAUGUUCAUGUUUUUCGGAUUUGUGUUUUCUUAUGCAGUAGGAGGCAAUGAUUCAUCAAUCGGACAAGAUUCAAAUAGCCAAUGUACAGAUUUGUUCCUUCCUUUUCGCGUCUUUUGUUCUUUCAAAGAAGUGAGAAAACCAAUUUAUUUCGCAAAAAUAAGAUUUUUAGAAUAAAAUGAAAAUAAUAGUAUGACAUUAUUCUUUUACACAAAUUUUCAGAUAGCUUAUGACCUAAUCAUACUUGAAGGUCAAGACAUUGCAAAGUCUCUUAUUGACUAUGUUUCACUAUACAGAGUUCAAAAUUUGAUACUUGGUUGUCCAUCAAAGAAUGGGAUUUCAAGGUACUUUUUAUUUUUUUAUUUUGAAUAUCUAUGCAAAAGUUUAUCGGAAACAACCGUUCUACUUGUGAGGUAGUAGUCAGGUCUACCCUUUUUAGACCCCGCUUUGUGGGACUACACUGAGUAUGUUGUUGUAAUAUCUAUGCAAAAGUAUGUUAGAGAUACUAAAAUUUCAUUUUAUAAUGACAGACUUUUCACUAAAAGUGAUGUUGCAAAUACUGUAAUGAAGAAGGCACCAAGUUUUUGCAAUAUUUACAUAGUUUCCAAAGGGAUGAAAAUCAGUUCUACAAGAAUGGCUUCUCAUCCGUUGAAACGGAGAUCCUCGAAUCCUAGCAUACGAGUCCCACCACAACGCAAUUCCAACUUUGAUGCAACUAAUUUAAUGUAAGUGUAGAUUAUACAUUUGAGUUAAGUACGUACUAGUACAACAACAACAACCAUGCAACGUACCAGUAUAAUCCCACAAGUUUGAUACAUAACGUGCAUUUCUCAUAUGUAUGGAAACAGGUCUCCGUUUCCGAGGGUGAGUAUAUCAACAAACAAGACAUCAGAUGAGGUUUAUGUGGCAAAAGCUGAUAAUUCAUUUUCAGGUUCUGAUAGAAUGAGCACAGAUAGUACUUUGUUCCUGGAUUGUUAUGAUAAUUUAGGAAGUGAAGUUCAUUCUCAUCAUCCCUCAGUAUCUAUGGACAGCAAAAACGUUGGAGAGCCUACGAGGUUGUCUGGUUUUGGUCCUACAAGGUUGGUUGAUCAUAUGCAUUCCACAAAUGACUUUCUACUAUCUGAACAGAAAUGUGAAGAAAAUUCAUUGUCCUCCGAUAAAAUUGUAAGCUUCAAACUUCUUUCACCUCUGCACUUUUGGUCUCUGUCAAGUAUUUAAUUUAACCAACUCUGCUUGUUAGAUUUCAAACGAAAACGAUAAAAGAUAAAAUGUUAUUUAGAAACUCCGUCAACUAUAAUCCCAUGAACAACACCACCAAAAAACUACCAUAAUCAACAAGCACAAAUAACAAAUACACCUAAAGGAGCACCUAAUCUCACAACCACCUUCUAUGAAGAAGGGUGCGAUAAGGGAAAUAAGGCCUCCAGAAUAAAGCCUAUAAAUCAAACUGCUGCAACUACGAGCUUUCCUCCCAGUUUUUAAAAGAUCUAAUAUUUCCACAAUAUCCGUCUUAAUCUGUAUCACAACUGUUUCAGUCUAUACACUCAAGUGCUUGAAUGUAGUCCAGUUCCUACCCUUCCAAGUGUAGUAACAAUUGCUCUCUCCGUGGCUGCCACAAUCUCCUUUUUGAACUGCUUCCUUCUAGUUCACUCCAGAACAGUUUUCACUUCACCAGUUUUAAGUUGUUUUCCCAGCCAAUUUGAUUGAUCAAUUAUCAACUGUUUGGUCCAAACACAAUCUGCAAAUAAAUGUAGUAAUGUUUGGGUAGCCUUCAUAUUACAUAAGCAACAGUCAUUAGUGUCGAUGGGUAUGUUCAAGCGUCUAAGUCUUGCUUUAGUAAGUAACCUCCCCUGUACAGCUAGACAGAGUGUGUUUAGUACAGUGUCUAGUUAUAGAAUAGCUUCCAUUAGUAGUUAGGAUAUACAUGUCAUUUUUAUACCCAUUUAUCAUGUCAUUCUUUAGAGAAUUGAGCUUGUUUGAGUACCAACUACAACCAUUAGGGGGUGUAUGCACCAAGAUGUUAAUCUUUGACUUCAUAUACAAUCCGUGAAUCCAUUUGACCCACAAUGAGUCCUGUUGUGUUGAAAUUGCCACAAGAGUUUGCCCGUAUAGGCAAUGCUCCAGAUGCUGCAUCCUUUAAUGUUCAUGCCGCCAUAUUGCUUUGGGAUACACAAUUUUUUCUAAGAGACCAGGGCUAUACUCCUCUUAUCCUGGUUGUUUGCCCACAAAUACUCUUUACAGUAUGAACCUCUUUUAGAACAUUUUGAGGAAGAAUGAACACAACUCCCUAGAAUCUAUGAAUGGAGAAUAAAACUACAGUAAUAAUUUGUAAUCUACCAGCAUAUGAUAGCAUCUUAGCAUAGCCAUUCUUGAUCCUAUCAGCGAGUUUAUAGCAAUGAGUUGUUGACAUUCCAAUUUGCUCGAUUUCUUAGAAAAUGUGUGAUCCUUAAGAGGAGGUCCUUAUUCUGCUCAUCAGUUCCAGCAAUGAACAUAUUUGAUUUGGCUAUGUUGGCUAUCAUCCCAUUGACUCUUGUGAAAUGGUACCACUAUAACAAAAAUAACUUUUAGUAGCAAUAAAUGUACACAUUAACAAAGAGUGAUAAAACCUUUACCAGCAUUAGUUAAUUGUCAUUGGAUCCAGUGUCGCUAUAGGCUUGAGGGACAUUUACAAAGAGUUUUAAAUGUCGCUAAAAAAAUGUUUUUAAUGGCAAUUAAGCUAUUACCGUUAACUUUUUUGACACUAAAGAUCAUUUUUUAUGUAGUGUACGACAUUAUAUCCGGAUCCUGUAAUGCUUAUGGUUGUUAUUCUUUCAUUAGUUUCUGUCCUUUCGAUCGGCCUAGCCUUAAGUAGUUAUUAUUGCUGUGAUUAUAGAUAAAUAAUAGCUCUAUUUUGUGAGUCACUUCAUAUUGUUGGAUCAAGUUUUCGCCUAUCCAAUAUUUAUCACUACUUACCCUGUGAGAAUUCGGGCUAUGUCCCAGUCCCAGUAUGACUGAUCAUUUGAAAAGACUAGAUAAUUAAGCAUCAUUGGCUUAGUCAAUUGAAUUUUUUAUUGAUGUGCUAAGUGAUUUGGUGUAUCAUAUCAUUGAUUCUAAUGUAUAAUUUGAUCCAAUAUGGCACAAUCCAAUCGAGGUGGAGAGUUAACCAAUACCCGUGGUUGUAGGGUUUAGCAAACAGCUAUUUGGUGGACUAGUUGUGGUUUGCGCAAGUUGGUCUAUACAUACUAUCAUUAAAGUUGUUAGUGGAAGCUAGUGAAAUUGGGUAGAAUGAAGAGUUAUACACCUAAAAAAUGACUUAAAUCAAUUGAACUUUCAAAAACAUAUUUUUGAAGGACACAUUCAAUAACAUCAUAAAGAAGCUUGUCUUAAAAUUACUGUGUAAGUAGUGUAUGUAUGUAUAUCAAAUUAACAUUAUCUCUUUUGGUUGAGGAAUCUUAAUAUUUGACAUGUUAGAUUUUUUUCAGAAAGAAAUGGAAGAAAAGCUGAGAAGACUAGAGUUACAAACAAUUCAAACUAUGGAAAUGUACCAUGCAGCCUGCAAAGAAGCACUACGAGAGAAGCAAAAGGUAAUGACAAUAUUUACUCUUUUUUAAUCAUGAAGAAAUGUGUUCUUUUGGUGGAGUUUUGGAUUCUUUAAUUAAUCCAAAGUUGUUUCGGUUAUACAACGUUGUUGGACUGUUGUAUCUUGGAGGGGACAAAUCAAGAGUUAUACUAUUGGAUCAACGAAGAUUAUAUGCGCUUCAAUCUCCUUAAAAAGGGUUAAAUAUCUGCGACUUAGCUUGAGUGUUUAGGGGGCAAGUCAAGAGUUAUACUAUUGGAUCAACAAAGAUUAUAUGGGCUUCAAUCUCCUUAAAAAGGGCUAAAUAUCUGCGACUUAGCCUGAGUAUUUGUUUAUCAUUUUUGUGAUAUGUUCACCCAAUAAUUUUAAACCACGUACGUAAGCAUCAUACUUUUUCAUUACUGUAGCUUUUAGCUAGGAAACAAUAUCACAAUGUAAAAUAGUGAUUAAAGUACUCAUCAAAGUCAUGUAAAAGGCAAAAUAACACUUUUGACUUUGCCCAUGAAUCAAAUCUUUUUUUCUUAUUAGUAAUGUCAUUUGUACGUUUACUGUACACAUUACCUUAUGUUUGUACCAUAGUCACACAUUUUUAGUUGUAAAUCCCAUAUAAUAUAUGCUUUUACCUAAUAUUGUUGCCACUCCUUGUCUAAGUAAUUGUUAGUCUUCCGACAUCAUUUUGUACAUCCGUUUAUGGAAAAAUAGUCUUCGAGUACUCGAAGACUAUUUUAGUAUGUACUCGAAGUCUAUUUUAGUAUGUAUUUUAACUUCUUUUUUUAUGGUAUUUAGUUGAAGGAACUUGAAAAUUUGAGGAAGGAAGAUGUGAAGAAACUAGAAGAAGCGAGACGAGAAAAGGAAGAGGCAUUGGAUCGUGUUGCCAAGGAGAAAGCAUUAAGAAUUGCAUCGAAGGAAGAGGCGAAAGCCGCUCAAAGAAAGGCUGAAAGAGAGGCACAAAAGAGAAAGCGUUUUGAAAGAAAAGCGCUUAAAAAAUCUGAGGCCAAGAAGUCUACUAUAAAGUCCUUAGUUCACUCCCAAAAGGCUAUAAAGUAUCAAAGCUUACUUAGGAUACUUGUGGUUUUGAUAAUUUUCUACCUUUAUUUCUUUGAGUUGAGAUGAUCAUUAGUCAUGAGUAGAGAAGAAAAUGUGAGGGAUAUGAAGAGGAAGUUCUUCCGGCAAUCUCAGGCAUAUUACUAAUCGAUUAUUUGGCCUGGUCAUUGAUAUUGUCAUCAAUGAGUAAGAAACUAAUCCCAAUUUCUCUGUUCUUUUUUUAUAUUUAUCAAAUGUUAAGAAAUUGAUGUAAUUUCCUUUUUUGUUGGGUGCAGUGAAUCGGGAUCCUGAUGCAUAUAGAUACAAAUGGUUCAAUGGAAGCAAAAAUAAUCACAUUGGGGUUUAUUAUUGUUGUUGUAUAUGUGUCGAAUCCUUGAUUCUGAGAAAUAGGAGAAACUCAAUCCUCUAUUAAUGGAGUAAAUUGAGCUCAAGGAUGGAGACAAUUAUGAGAUCUACAAAAGGAGAGAUAAGAAAUUCUUGGACCAUUGCAAAAUGAAUUUGGGGGAAAUGAAAGCUAUCUCAUUCUGAGUAUGAUACACACAUAUCAUGCAUUAUAAAAAAUGGCACACAAAAUAUUCUCAUCACUGAGGUCAUAUAAAUUGAACAUUCCAAAAUCUUCUAGAGAUCGAGGCCUUAUAUUCUGGGUGUGCCAUGGAGAAAUUUUUCUGCAAUAAUGAAAUGCACAUAUUAAUAAUCUAUGAUGGUUUAGUAAACAAUCGUAAAAAUUGGCUACAAAUAACUCAACUAAUAACAUGACUACCCCAAACUAUUAACUGAACUACAGAUGAUUACAAGUGAAGAAUCUAAUCAAACACUUAGUUUGCAGGAUCAUUGAAUUCGUUUCACUUGUCAAAAAAGUGUAAUCGCAUACAAAAAGUGAACUACAUCAUAUAAAAUCACAGUCUAUAUUUGUGUACCUAUUACAAUUGUUCACUUUUCAGAGAAGAAAUCUUCAAAGAAUCUUCAUACAAACUUUAUCGGAAUUGGAGAGAGAGGCAAAAAAGUUUUGUCUGUUCUUUUGCAUGAUCUAGAUUGACCCACAUGGGUGACCCGGUCCAAUCUCCCUCAUCUUCCGCUCACAUAAAAUGGGUCAACUCUCAUUCCUAUUCGGUAAAUUUCAUACGUUACAACUAGAUUGUGUGACCGUGCAUACUCCAAGAACUUCCUUGCUUUACAUUUGUUAGGAAUAUACAAUAUCUCGAUCAAUGAAAUAUAAAGUAGAUUAUAGUAUGCAAUACCCAAGAUCAUUUAUCACAUUCAUAUUUCUCAUCAUCUCUUUUUCAUAAUUUUGAGUCAUCAUUAUGUACUUGUCUUACAGAAAAACAUAAAGGACGUCAAUGAACACAAUUGAUGUGAUAAUAUCCAAUGUCUUCCUCAUCUUAUGAAUCUCUUGACCUCAACAUGAUAUACUUUUGAAGAAAUGUCUCGCCAAAACGAUUGCAUGAUCUCUUGGCAAAAUACUAAGAUAGAAAACACCAAACUGAAUCUCAAGAAACUUAUUAAAGUCAUGAAGGUAUAAUGUGAAAAUUACUUAUACUUUCAGGGCUUGACAAGGUAGCAAGUAGAGACGAAACGUGUAUCUCCCUUAUGGGUCACUCUAUGCAUACAUGGUAUGAAACAUGUAUCACAAUACUGACUUCUUUUUUAUGGAUCAUAUGUCAUUUAUUAAUUAAAUAUGGUGUAAAUGAUAGUGCAGAUAAUUCAUGUCUAAUUAUGAGUUCAUAAAUUUACUCAUCAUUUUAUUCUUCAAAAGUCAUAUCUGGCAUUAGAAACAAACUAACUCAUUUUAAUCACUAAAGAUAAACUAACAAAUGACAACUCUCGGUUACCACCACUUUUGACAAUAAUUAUUUUGUAAUUGUUUCAUCUCCACUUGUCACUUAGACAAUAGAGGCAAUUACCUGUGCGAAUAGCCAAUUUUUUCAUCCGUUUGACAUACUUUUUAUCCUCAGAAUUUUAAGUACACUACAUAAAAAAGUAACAUAUGUAUAUGAAUCAACAAGAAGAAGAAUUAGGCAUAAACCAAUAUUAACUUUAAAUAAUGUGAAUUUACAUAAACAUGCUUGGAAAAAAACAAAAUAUAAAUACAUCAACAUCUAAGUAAACCAAAUGACUUGACAUGUCUCUCAUAAACAUCACAUGCUAUGAGUUUCGUUAAGGGAUCUGCUAUCAUUUGAUGCAUAGAUAUGUAUUUCACGUUCACUUUCUUUUGUACUACCAUGUCUCUAAAAUUAUACUUUAUGUCAAUAUGUUUCGUCUUCCCAUGAUACUUCAGAUCCUUUGUGUUGGCUAUUGCACCCUGACUAUCACAAUUGACUGUGACAAGCUUAACAACAUUAUUAUACACACCCAAGUGAACCAGAAAAUGCUUAAGCCAAACAACUUCUUGCAUAGUAUAUGAAAGUGCUAGGAAUUCAGCUUUCAAUGUAGAUAAGGCUAUACAUGACUGCUUCUUGCUACUCCAUGAUAUGGCGCCAUUAUUAAGAAAUAAUGCAUAUCCAUAGGUGGAUUUUCUUUUAUUUAAAUCUCCUCCCUAAUUAACAUUUAUGUAGCCUUUGAGUUGUAGAUCAUUCCUUGAUAACAUAAGGAAUAGUCGAUUGUGCCUUUGAGAUACCUCAAUAUCCUUUUAACUACAUUCCAAUGUUGCAGUCUUGGGUCGGAUUGAUAUAUGCUAACUAACUCGACGACAUAACAAUUAUCUGAUUUGAUACACAUCAUAACAUACAUAAGACUUUCGACUGCAUUGACAUAAGAAACUUUUCUCAUAUAUUUCUACUCAUGAGGAGUCUGGGGUACAUCAUUCAGAUCAAACCUUCACUUUUAGAAACUGAAGUAUUUAUAGAUUUGCAAUCUUGCAAAUUGAAGUGUUCAAGAACUUUCUAAAUGUAAAGUUCUUGUGAAAGAGAUAACAAUCUCUUUGAACGAUCUCUUGAAAUCGUAACUCCAAGAAUGUAUGUUGCUUUACCCAUAUCUUUCAUCUCAAAAGAAAAUGAUAACCACUCUACUAUUUCUUUUCCAAAAUCAAUGUCACUUGCACCUAUUAAUAUAUCAUCUACGUACAAUGAUAAGAUCACAAACUUAUCUUUAAAUCUUCUGAUGUGCAAAAAAUGAUCUUUAUGAAUCAUAACAAAUCCAUAUUAUAUGAUCGCAUUAUAUAAUCAAAGGUAUUAUUGUCUAAAAGAUUGUUUAAGGUCAUAAAUUGACCUUUGGAAGAGGAGAAAUAAUAGGAAGUGUCACGAUCCAAAAAUCAAGGUCAUGAUGACACCGAGAACCCCAAAAUGGUGUGUAAGUCGAAAGAAAUAACACAUACGAGACUGCCAAAGGGAAGUCAUGCCACAAACGAUAGAAAACAACAAAGAAUUUGCCAAAAACUAGUAGCAUAAGUAUAAAGAGCAUCUAAUAUAAUUCUAGAAUCAGAAAUAUAUCUCAAGUCUUCAAAAGGAAAGUUAACGACUUUAAAUGUUAGAUGAGGACUAAUGGCGAUCCAAAAAGCAGGAUCUUACCACAAUUUCAAAAGAGAGAAAUUCGCUAGAUCCAAUCAACCGCUACGAGGAUCACCCUGACUAGGAUCUGCAUCAAAUGGAUAAUAGAAGUAGGGGUGAGUACAAUCAUAUGUACUUAGUAGGCUAGACCUAGUCAGUAUAACAACUAAACAGACUUAAGAAAUAAACUAUGAAACACUUCCACCUAUACGCAGAAAAGUCCCAUUCCGGCAUCGAUGCCGCCAAUUUAUAUAGAACGGCGCAAAUAAAGUAAACACAUAAGGGUACAAAUAAUAUUUAAAACAACACAUACGUACUCUCAGAAAUCAUUCAGAUCCAUAAACUGGACAUGCUACCCACCGAAAUUGACAUUUUAGACUCAAUGAAAUCGUCAAAUUUCUGAAAAGAGGUCAAAUUACGGAAUUACCCUCCCAAACCACUCUUAAGGCUAAAAACUCAAUUUCUCACUCAAAUACCCAAAUCUCAACCUAAGCCCUCGGAAACCUUACCAACCACCGUACUAGUUCAAAUUCGACGUUCCGAACACAAUAGAACUAACGGAAUUCCCAUAUGAUGCUUGGAACUCAAAAUAUUGAUCAAAAUCAACCCUAUCAUGAAUUCACAACUCAGGAAGGUCAAAUCACUAAAAACACACCCGAUCACAUCGAAGACCACACCAACCAUUCUCGGAACACAAACUAAGCAUGAAAUUGCUAAGGAGAAGGGCAAAAUGGUUAAUUCACAAUUAAUAGCAAAUUCACAAGAAAUGGAACAUUACAAGAAGCAUGGACGGAACAUCACUUUUACAGAUAUGGUGAGACAGAUUGAAGAUAUGGUGAAUAAUUUGAUAAAGUUCGUAUAUCCAUGGAUAAAGUUGGCAACAUGCUCAUGGAAGGAAAUAAUUGGAACUAUAAGCCUGAGUUACAUUACUACAGUGUUACUUGGAGACCCCUCAAUAUAAUCUCAAACUAAAGUGUAACACAGAUGAAACUUGUAGGGGAAAUCAAGGACUAAGUUCCUAUGUUUUUUGCAUAGGAGAUGACGAGCGACACCUAAUUUAUGCAAAAGCCAAAGGAAGAUCCAUGACAACAAACACAAAAGUAGAAUCUAUGAAGCUCUACUAUAUCGCCAGGAAAAGAAUGGGAUGCGAUUACUACUGAGACAUACACACUCAAUCUCAAAAAGAUCAUACAAAAGAAAUGAAGGGGGCCAUGGGAGAUUGUGGAAAGAAUAACGGACAUCAAGAGUAUGUAACAACACACCUAUUUCCAGAUCACACACAUAUUUAGAGAAGGUAAUUGUGCUGCAAAGUAUCUAGAAAAUAAGGUGAUUGAAUUACAAAACACACAAGAGUAUCAUGUUUUUCAUGACUUACUAGUAAAAAUGAAGGGCAUGCUCUCAACAUGGAUAAAACAUAAAUUCCUAAUACAAGGAUGAGAACUCGCCAGAUAAACAUUCCCAAUUAUAAAAAAGGAUUACAUUGAGAAACAUAAAGAUAGUCAGAUUGGAAAGCAACAUGUAUCACAAAACAUGCACAAAUAGCAGUACAAGGCGAUAGCUUUGCAAGAAAAUAGCAUACACAACAAGAAAACUAACUAUGUAUCUAGUAUCACAGAUACAUGUGAAUUACAUCAAAUACAUAUAGAUACGUGUAUCUGGUAUGUAUCUACUGAUUCACAUGUAUACAUAACGAAUCUCACUCGUCUCUCUCCCUAUUUUAGUGUAUUUGAUAACAAAAAUACAUGUAUCUAAGUGUAUCUUCCUUAAUGUAUAGUACGAAACUCUUAAUUAAUGGUAAGAUACGUAAUAUUUUGUAAGUAUAGAUAAUAAUAGUAUAUAUAUAUAUAUAUAUAUAUAUAUAUUAGGUGUGUGUGGGCAGUGGCGGAUCAAAGAUUUUCAUUCAGGAGGUUCAAAAAAUAAAAAGUAUUUAACAUGUAAAUAAGCGAACAAAACACAAUUCCAAGGAAGUAGUACUGUAGUAGUAUAUAGUUUAUAGGUACAAAAAGUUAGUUCCGUUACAUGAGACUUUUAGCACAUUUGAAUUUUUGUGGGUUUAAAUAUACUCUUUUAGCACGUAAAAAAAUGUAAGAUUGGUCCUGAAACUAAAGGAAGAAAAGCUAAAAAAAUAAAAUGUUCGCAAUGGAGCUUGAACAACAAGCCUCAAGCUUGAAUGAGCUCUCUAACCGAUUUUUUUUUUCACAUUUCCAAAAAUUUGAUUGCUCAUGACGGGAUAGAGAAAGAAUGCUAGGGUCAACUUAAAAGGAGACCUACAACUAGGGUUGUUCAUGGUUAUGGUUAAAAACCUAACCGAUUAAAAAAAUCAAUAUUUGAUUCUAUUUGGUUAGGUUAGGUUAGGUUUUAAAUUUUGAAAACCUAUACUAUUUGGUUUGGUUUUAGUUUUACUGUAAAACAACCGCAAAAUAACCAAACCGAACCGAUAAAUUAGAUAUAUAAAUUUUAUAAUUAUUUAUAUAUCAUUCAUAAAUAAAAUAUAAAUAUUUUCUUAAAUUUGAAUUAAAUUAAGUCUUUAACUUUACUAUUUUCUCAAGCUCAACACUUUAGUCCAACUAUAACAAUCAUAAGUCAAAAUCCAUCAAAAUUCAUUUUAGUUUUUACCUACCCUACUCACAUAAAAUAGUCGCACUUUCUCUUAAUUAAAUCACUUUGUUUGUGUAAUGAUAACUCUAGUAUUGCUUAAUUGCUUAAUUGAACUGACAAUAGCUUUUAUGUGGGUUGUUCAUGUACUAGGUGUUUGUGUCUAUCGAGAUACGUAUGUCCUAAAAAAAUUAUUACUUUCAAACCGACUAAACCAGAAAAACUGAUCUAAACCGAACCAAACCGACAAUAACCAAACUAACAGUUAUUUUUUUUCAUUUGGUUUUAGAAAUUUAAAAAACCAACUAGAUUGGUUUUAAUCAAUAACAGAUCCAAACCGAACUACGAACACCCCUACCUACAACUAUGCUACAACUUACUUCAUGUUAAUGAAGGGGUUCAAAAUUAAUAUAUCUACGUAAAUACAAAAAAAUUGUCUUAUAUAUACUAUAAUUUUUUUCCUAGGGGAGUUCGGCCUGGAACCCACGUGGGGCCGCCCCGUGUGUGUGUGUUUGGGGGGGAGGCACGUAGCAUGGAAAUAAUUCGAAAGGAAAGUUGUACAAUGUAUUUUACGUGACUGUUUUAUAUUCUCCAUUCUCCUGAAAACGAGAGAAGUUUCUCUUUUAGAUAUAAUCCAAAAGAGGAGAAAACUGUUCCUUUUCUUCUCUACCAAUCUUUCUUUCCUUUCAAUCUGCAAAAACAAAAACCUCAAUUCCAUAUUCAAGAACAGAGAGAGACCUAUAUGCGUCUCUCUUUGUUCUUUUUCGGGAAAAAAUGGCUGAAGUGAGGGGCCGUAAGAAGAUAUUAUCCAUCAAUCUUUCCGUUUUUGUCCCCACUGAUAACAUUAAUUCACCUAAAUCCACCAAAUCUCCUAACAAAUUUGAAGACCCUAAUGGUGUUGUUGGCCUUGGUAUUGUUGCAGCCAUGUCCAAUAAUCAGAAAUGUAAUAAACCUCCAAUUCUGACUGUUUCGCCUAGACCAACUUCGACACCGAUACCAAUUUCAAGUAAUAAUUUUUAUAAUAAGAUAAAGAAAAAACCUACUAUUGAGGAAAUGGAGAUGUGUGAGGAGUAUACUCGUGUGAUUUCUCAUGUGGGUACCAAUUUGGUUAAGAAAAUGGAAUAUUAUGAUGAUCAAUUUCUGGGAAAUGGGUAUCAUAAAACUGCUAAUGCUGCUGCCUCUGCUCCUCCUGAGGCUUUUAGGGCGGCGGAUUUCCUCAAUAUUUGCUCUUUAUGCCAUAAGCACCUUGAGGGGUUGGAUAUUUUCAUUUACAGGUUCAUUGCAACUCUUCAUUUUUGCUGUAUUUUGUGUUGUUUUUCUUAUCAUUGUUCUGUAUAAUCUGUCUCAAUUGUUUUAGCCUAUUCUUGAUUCUGUUAUUUGAAGGCUUUUAACUGUGGAUUUAGAUUUCCAUUUUAUGAAAUUUGUAAUGCUCCAACAUCAUAGUUUUGUACUUUGAUUAUCUUUAAGAAACUAGUCUAUAUUCAAUCUUUUGGGGGUGGCUCAAAUGGUUUAGCUUGGGACUUUCAUUAUGGAGGUCUCAAGUUCGAAACUCCUUGCCUUCGCAGCAGGGAUUGGCCUUCUGGGUCAAGCUCGUCACACGGGGCUUGUCUAUUGUAGUUUACCUCUCCUAUGUGGUUUGCGAGCUAUUGCAUAUGAGCGGAAUUCAGCAUGUGCACACCCAAAGAGUAGCGGUUGUGGGUUAUCCUUGAUAUCACAAGAAAGAAGCUUUGUAUUCAAGUCAACCUUAGAGCAUACAAUACUUUUAUUUCCUUUUGUAUGGUUUCAAUUAAAAUGAAAAUUCAUUUGAUAAUGUUUUUAAUCGAUAAAAUCUCGCUAGUAUGAGUAGAUCAUUUUGAAGUAGUUUGUGUAACCCAAUAAGAGAGAGUGUUCUAGAGUCCUAUCAGUAAUGAUGUCGAUCAUAUUUGGUUGGUUACUCAAUGUGGAUAGCAUUUUUGUUUACUUUCAAAAUGUAACUCAUAUUCUUUUACCUGUUCAGUUUUAAUUGCAGCAGUUAACAUAAAAUCUGAAUGAAUGUCAUUGUUGUGGUGGUGGUUGAGAACUAUGGUCUGAGACUUAUUCAUUCAAUUCAUACUUCUGAAGUUUUAAAUAUAGCUGUCUGUGGGCCAUAAAACUUUGUGCUUGUUGGCUCGUCUUUUCCUUAGAGAAUUAUGAUUAUCCUUUGACAUUUACUUUCUUUUUUAAUUUUCUAAUAUGAAGCAUGUAUUGCAAAUGAGAACAUGUUGAUGCAAAUCCAUCUGUUCUUUAUGCUGCGAUCUACUGUCUACGCGAAUCUGAUUUGAAAUUUGUGGAUGUCCAAAUUUUCUAUUUGCUUAGUUCUAUUGGUUGAGGAAAAUGUUAUUCCCAUCUGGAUUUAGAAAGUUUGCAAACGGAGAUGUUCUAAGUCAGUUGGGUAGCAAUGCUCUAUCUUCAUUUUAUUGCAAAUUGUUGAUACUUUUAUAGACCUAAGCAAUAGAUUCUCCUCGGAAAGAGGGAAGCCUUUAAAGGACCCACAGGUCAUUAUUGGAAACUGCACGUCAAGCUCAAUUAUCUUAGCAUCGCACAAUCAAAUGUUUUAUUUGCUGUCAGUGUGGCUAAUCAGUUUCUCCAAAUUCCAUGUAAUAGUCAUGUCCGUGUAGGGUGCAGUAACUUUGAAUUCGUAACUAGUAGUUUUUCCUCCUCCUUUUGCAUUCUGUUUUUGCGUUAUUAAGUGUUCUUGUUUUUAUAAUUAUCAUCUGACUUAGGCCUUUGGUAUCUUGUUCCAACUUACACAGUACUGGACUUGUACUUCUCAUAUUUUACUUGUUUAACAUGCAUAUCUUGAAGCAAGAGGAAUAAAUUCUUUGACAAGUGUUAGAUUAAUACAUUGUGCUUAAUUUGUACAGUUAGUUUUCUUUGUUGUUAGUCGCUUGGAAUCUUCUCAAGUUAACUGCUGAUGUUGGCUUGUAUGACUUUGUUAUAGUAAUCAUGCAUACGAACCAAGUCCAUCGGGAGUGUAAUAUAAACCUGAUUUCUUUAAUUCACAUCCUUAGAAACAUUGGCAGAGUUAUUACUCAAUUCUCUGUGGUGAUUCUCAAUUUUAAUUUUCAGAUUCAUCAAGGUUGAAUUUCUUAAUUUCAGAACUCAUCAUGAACUAUAGUUUUUGUGUGGCUUGUGGCAGAUACUGAUAUUUUUGCAUUGUCCGUUAAUAUCUCCUAUUUCUCUGCUUUUAAUUUCAGUCAUUCUUCUUAGACACUUCUUCUUUUUGCUGCAAUAUUAAGUUUUCUAGUUGGAAAUAAUUCAGUCUUUCUUCAUCAGUAUAUUAUUGAAGUUUAUAACCUAAGGCUUUAGGUAGGAAAGUACCAAAUGGUUUUCAUUUGUUUGUAAAAUUUUGGCUGUUUCCUCCAGAUAUUGCAGUGUAUCUUGUUGUAUAAGCACUGUAGUGUGUUGCUUUUGAUUUGGAGAAUUUUAGGUAUAGAGUAGGACAUAUAUAUUUUGGAGGGAAAAUAUAUAUUAUCCCUGUCUUGUCAAGCUUGGGGAAUGAAGUACAGGUUUACUAAUAUCACCUUUUUUCUUGUGUGAUGCUCAUGCAGAGGAGAGAAGGCAUUUUGUAGCUCAGAGUGCCGUUUGAAACAAAUCUCAAUCGAUGAACAUAAAGAGAAGUGUGGUUCUGUAGCCAUGAAAUCACCCGAGUUCUCUGCCUCCCCUCGCUCUGGUACAAUGCAGUUUUCCGGUGGUGUUGCUGUGGCAUAAGUAAGUUGGUGAUACAGGUCUGGGAAGCUAACUCAAUGCAUAAGAAGAUCUUAAUAUGUUCAAUUUUGAGUAAUGGAAUGUUGUUCUGCCUGCCAGAGGUUCUGAAGUUUUGUUAGAACCUAUUAAGAGGGAGAGUGUUUCGUAGUUUGGUUAAACCCACUGAGAAUAGACAUCACAAUUUUUAUAUCUAAAGACCACACACAUAUAUUUAAAUAUAUAAGUUUAUGCAAUUGAAAUCUUUUUACAUUUUCGAUUCCACUGAACUUGUUGGAUGUCUCAUAUAAAAGUAUUCUGCUAAACUUCUGCUGCAAAAGGUGACUAUUCGUUGAUUUCUUCCCUAGGAUUCGUACCUAUAGAGUAGCUUACCUUUUGUUGGUUAGUUCACUUGGUGCUUUAAGCAACUGAUAUUUGGUUAACAAGUGAAGCUGACACUCUUAGCCAUAUCCAGCCUGUUUAAACCAAGCAAUGUUGGGAGUCCCUGUGAUUCAUAGUUCAUAACUGCAACAACUAGGUCAUUAUGUACAACAACCUGCUUGUUUUUCUGUCUUGGAGGUCAAUCAGGUUGGUGUACGUAAUGUACACGUUUGUGUAAUGAGGAGAGUCAUUUGUGCCAAACGCAAAAUGUCCUUGUGAUGGAAGUCCUGCUUAUUACAGGUUCCCUCUUGUAGAAGGAACACCACUAGAUCUACACCGUCUUUUUGUUUAGGUUACAUCUCGAGGUGGAAUAGAAAAGGCAUUUACAAAAAAACAUUUUGCUUAGUGACAUACAUAUCAUCUUUCAGUAUUUUAAUUUUGGAGAGCGAAUCUUCGGUAUUAAACUACAAUAAAAUGCCUUUAUCAAAAUAGAGAAUCAAAGAAACUACAGUAAAAUGUAAGUAUGUCCACACAAUUAUUAUUUUUCCUUGUGAUUACAUUGGAUGGCAUAUCCUUAAGAUCGUAAAUCAUGUUAAAAUACAAUAAUGGGCUUUAAAUCCUUUGGUCUUAUCCCUGUCAAAUGCUAGUUCGAAUGUUCUGUGAAGCUUUUCCUACUCUUUCUCUGGUUUCAUUUGGAAAUUUCAAGUUCAGAAGUAACUAACAAUUGCUUGAAAUUGUUACCAAGGUUAGAACAACCAACACAUUUCCACUGUGUGUCCACUAACACCUUCCUAUUUUCUAUGAAACACCAUCCAUCAUCGCAAAUCCAUACAUACAAAAUUCUACUUGGUGAAACCACAGUCAAAGCUCCUUCUUCAAACACCUCAAAUCCCCAAACUCCACAUGAUUUUCACCAUCUCAAACAAAGCUCUUUGGUAAGAACUUUAGAUUCGGGCAACCUUUAUCAACAACUUCAAACACAAAACCAUUCGAAGAGAUGUAGUGGUGGAGGAGAUGUAAGGGGGCAAUGGAGAAGAAUAGAAGACGGGGACGAGAAAAGAGGACGAGGACCACAGAAGAAUAUGACGAGAAAGAGAGAGAGAGUGAGAAUUGGCUAAGAAUGGUGAAUGUUGUGACUAGAAUAUUUAUUUCGGUUAAGACUUAAGAGAGAGAGAGAGAGAUGACUAAAAAUGGUGCAUAUUGAGACUAGAAUAUUUAUUUUGGAAAAUUCAUAAAGAUUGAGGCUACUACAUGUAGGGUGAAAUUCCUAAAUUUUAAUAUGCACAUGAAAUACCUUUUGUAUCAAACACCAUAAGCUGCUAAACUGAAGAGAAAUAAAUACAUACGACUAAAUAUAAAGAUUCAACUUUGUCCAAAAGUUUGACACAAAUAACUUGUUGAUUGAACAACAUUAGUUUAUUUUUUCAACAUAACAUUCAUAAAUAAUUAAAAUAAAAGUACGAUAACACGAAAUGGAUAGAAAAAUGCAACAAAUUAUGACACACACUAUGAAAAAAGCAACAUGAAAAAACAAUAAUAGAACAACAUAAUUAUUAUAUUCUCAAUCGAGAUCCUUGGAAUGUCCAUUAUCUCCAACAUUGGUGUCAUUGCCUUUUGUUGGUGCAGACUCUGUACCACUUCCAUCCCCUAAUGUAGCCAUAGUCUCAAUAAACCACGAGUCAUUGAAUAAAUCUCCCAUUGGACUUGCUGAUAGGGUGACAUUUUCGUUGUUGGAUUGGGGAUUUAGAGGUUGUUUCAAUUGUUCCUUUCUUUCAUUUAUUUUAGCCGUUUUAGCAGCACACACCUUUAACAAACCUUUCAUCUGUCUUGCAUCAAGUUCAUUAAUACUCUUUCCCUCCACUAGUUGGUUGAAGAGGAGUUCCAUUUCCUUCUCCUCAUUCAUUUUCUCUAAUUUGCUAAUUUGUUUUUCUUUCUUUUCCGCUUUCCUUUGAAGAUAGGUUUCAUGUUUGACAAAAAAUUUAAUCCUUUCAUUCGCUUCACAACUUAAAUACCUUGUUAAGACAUCCUGAGCCAGACUUGCAGAUUUCCAAGCAAUGGGUUGGAUACUCCCUGGCCUAAAAAUAAUUAUGGCGACUUCUAUAUCACACAGAAUAGAAAGUUCUUCUGCUUUCUUAAACAAACUUGUUACUCUUCUAUCUAAGAUGGAGUUCCUUAUGUCUUCACUAUAGUUCCUAGUAUCCCUAAGCCUUUUUGUAGCCAUAUUUGAUACUCAAACAUAAAUAAACACUUUCUUUUGGAGUAGAAUAUAUAACUUGAAGAGGCGUCUGGCUUUUAUAAAUGUCAAACAAGAAUUGUUAAUGUGGUCAAAUUAAGAAAUAUCAUAAAUUGGGGUCCAAAUUUUAAAUAAAUUGAUUAGUGUAAUCUGAUAUUAAGAAAAUUGUUUUACUUUUUUUCUUAAAAAGUUUAAAAUUGCUAAAAUUUUGACAGGUCAUAUUCCAUAAUUAUUUUUGGAGACCGAAAGCGCAAUAUUUACAUUGUGACAUGGGCAUAUUUGGUAGAAAAGUAUAAUGAAAAAUAUAUUUUACAAAAGAUGUUAGUAUAUCUUUAAAAUGUUAGAAUUCACUUCCCAGGUUGUUAGAGUUCAUUUCCAAGGUUCACAAGAUGUUAAUUUUCUAAGGAUAUACUAACAUCUUUUGUAAAACAUAUUUUUCAUAAAACUUUUCUACCAAAUAUGCCCAUGUGACAAGUUAAAUAUUGUGUUUCCGGUCUCCAAAAAAUAAUCAUGGAAUAUGACCUGUCAAAAUUUUAGCAAUUUUCAACUUUUUAAGAAAAAAAGUAAAACAAUUUCCUUUAAAAAAGAUUACACUAAUCAAUUUAUUUAAAAUUUGGACCCCAACUUAUGAUAUUUCUUAAUUUGACUACAUUAAAAAUUCUAGUUUGGCAUCUAUAAAUGUCACGAUCCGACACUACCCCCUAGUCGUAACACGGUUCUUAGAAUCACAAGCGACUCCAAGCUAACAUGAGCAACUAUUAUGAACAUGUAAAAAAAAAUGAAAACAACUGAGCAAAAGCAUUAUUAUGGAAUACUGGUUCAAUAUAUUUUUUGAAAAAGUUUUGUAUACAACAACUGUAAUAUUUUUGGCCUAUAACAACUCUUACAUCAUCUUGUAUGAUCUGUAACUCCGGCAAAGUCAUUGUUAGCAACAAAGUAACAAGAGUGAACUCUUGUUACUCUAUUCACAUAAGGUAGAUGAGGACUAAAGAACUAUUUGGGUCACAAGUUACUUAUAUAUGUUCGUAUGAAUACUUUUUAAAAAAUCCAAAAAACCUCAAGUUUUAUUAGUUUAGCUUGAUUUAAAAAUUGAAAAAUUCAACACAAAUGAUUUAGUUUAGUCUUUGAAAAAAUAAAACUAAUCCGGCCAUGUACACCCCUAGUGACAUUUAGCAAUGUCAAUAACUUCAACAAAUAUAGUCAGAAAAUUGGCACAUCUUUAUGAGAAACUGAUUAACUUGGUAAAGAAGCUCUAUUCAUUCUUUGUAGAUGUGAGUAAUCAGUUAUAGGAAGUAAAAAGUAUAGUCCUUUAAAAUAAUCACAAGUACAACAAGAAAGUUAUGAUUUCAUCUCAUGCAAUGACACUUUAUUGUCACAUCUCAUGCUAUAGCAUAUGUAAGCCCAUAGGACAUCUGCCAAUUAUUUACAACAGAAAAAUAUUACUUUGAAUAAAUGAAGAACUAGGGACUGAGACUACACAGCUUGAUCAAUCUACCAAGCACUGAUCUACUUCACAGGUAGAGAGAAUUUGCAAAUAUUAUCCCUCGCCGAAUACUGUCACUUGCUGCACCAAAUUUGUUCUCUAAAUCUACUUCUCCCACAGCAUGUGCAGCAGCUUUCAGCUGUAAAUUACCAACACAAAAACAUGUGGAGUAGCUGUUUCGUAUAACGGAAAGGACACUCAUAUUUUAAAAAACAGUAUAUUAUCACAAAAGGAACUACAGGUAUCAUUGACGUACUUGUUUACCGCAGCAGCUCAUUCAACAAAUAAGUGUAACUAAAAGAAUAUUAAGUCUUAUGGAAGUGCUCUCCUGAUGCACCAAGUGGAUACCGAUGAACAUUGAUAUUUAUAAAGCAAGUGUUAUCAAAGGCGAAAAGCGCAAAAAAGCUCUAAGGUCCAGGGUCUUUAAACGCAAAGCGCAAAUAAAGCGUGGCUUUAAUGAAAAGGGAGAAAAGAAUAGAAAUAUAUAUGUUUAGUCCAAGACUAAUAAUUAUAAACAUGGAUGACAAAUAUAUGACCAAAGAAAUUGAAUUUUUUUUAUGAUUAAGUGAAACAUCAAUUAUUUAGUUUCACUUCUGCACAAGAGGCUCAUUGGCAAGGAAACGUUGGCCUUAGAACCUUGAUGACAACACUGAAGCGCACAUAAAGCGAGGCAAAGCGCUCAACACGUUUUGAGCCUCGCUUCAAGGCUAAAGCGCGCUUAAAGCGCACCUUUGAUAACACUGUAUAAAGCUAGUCCAUUUAAUCUACAUAUUAAUGAGUUGGAUUAUGGAUAAAAUAUAGGCAUCCAUAUAUACCCAAUAGCUGAGCCAUUCAUCACAACCUGAUGAUUAUUGAUGAUUUCAUCAGUUAAAAUGGGAUGGAGGGAAUAUUAUUCAAAACAGGAGGAGGUACCUAACUAUUGCUAAUUGCUUAAAAUUGAACAAUGAGCUUGAUUUUUCGGGUUAUAAUACUUCCUCCAUCACAAUCCAGAUUUCAAUUGUCAAACUUCUUAAUCUAUUUAUCGUAAAUCAGGAUAUAGAAUUCUUAAAAGUUUUAA